rnacentral:lncRNA from 1 species
UUUUUUUUUUUGUUUGUAACAACCGUAUCUUGACUUAAAUCAUAAAUAAUUUUACUUUGAGUUUAAAAUAGACGAGUUUGUCCUACAGUUCUCUAAAAAGUCAAAAAGUUCUUAAAAACACCCCUGACGAGAAAUAAGAUGCAAUGAAACAUGGCUUUUAAUGGCAUUUUCUAGUCUGUGUUUUCUUAUCAUUUACAUGUUGAUUUCCAAAAAGGUUAAACCCAAAUUGUUUUAGACAUGGGACAUGUUUGAAGGUGCAUGAUAGAAGUUUUAGAGAUAUGAUAGAUCAUAGUCCGUCUAUAUGGAUGUCUGGUCAAGUUGAAAAGCUUUUGUGAAGAUUUACGAGGUUUAUAAACCUGGCCAGUCUCAGUCCCCACUAAUAAAGAGUAUGAAAAUGACGAAAGGGAAAACUGUACGAUCAUCCACUUUUAAAAGAAGAUAAAUAUCUUUAGUUCAUUCUUUUACAGUGGAAACAAGGACAUCAUUUGACUUGUAAAAAGCUCAUUGAUAUCGAUAGUUCAAAAAAGGGGCUAAACCGUAACUAGUUAGAGUUAUUUAAGCCCAUACUAGACUUCAAGGAAAAAAACAUAGUUCAAAAAAGACUAACAUUGUCCGAAUUGGGAAGCGCUCUACGAACAGUUUAGGAUUAAGGGCUAAACCUGCAAAUGGAGGUUAAACGCAAGCUUAAAUAUUUGACAAUUUUAAUCAUGAAAAAACUUAUGUAUAGUGCGUUGAUAUUUAUACCAAACCAAUACAAAUAAGAUAUUGUGUUUACUUAUUGUGAAGACCCGAUAGGUUAUUUUGAGAUUCAGCCUCUAUUUUCGUGUUUCGAGACCUCGAUUAGCUCCGUUUAGCGUUUUUCGAUUCGCAUGUGCAGUCUGUGUCUUAUUCCGGAAAAUCUUUAUACGAAAAAUUAAAGAAAAUGUAAAAUUUUUGCCUUAAAAUGGGUUGAGUUGACUACGGUCAAUAUUUUGUGUAAACGGAUCCAGAUUGGUAUUUUGAUGAUUCCAGUGGAUCCAUAUGGUGAUUUGGGACUUGGGCGUAUCCGGAAUUAAAUUCGGAAGCCCUUAACUUGUUUUGACUCAUUUUGCCAAAAAUUAGCAUUUUUGAAAGUUGAAAAUUACUAGGUUUGAUCGUAAGUUGACUUCUUAGCUAACGGGUUCGGGAUUUUGAUGUUGAAACUUGGAAUAGGUCCGUAUCGCUAUUUGAAACUUGUCUACAAAAUUUGGUUCAAUUCGGAAUUGAUUUUACAUGAUUCGGACGCUUAAAUGUGAUUCUAGUGUUCUUGAGUUUCAUUUUGAGGAUUGAUUCAUAGAUUUAGAUGUUAUUUUGGUGAUUUGAUUGCGCGAAGAAGUUCGUAUGAUGUUAUUACACUUGUGUGCAUAUUUGGUUUGGAACUCGAGGGGCUCAGGUGAGUUUCAGACGUGUUUCAGAUGAGCUUGGCUAAUGCUAGGAUAGUUGGUGCACUCUAUUGCUGGUGUUCUGCUGCAGAUCUCACAUUUGCGAGUUCUGGCUCGCAAAUUGCAAGCCUCACAUUUACGAAUAUGUGUUUGCAUUUGCGAGCAAAGCAUGGGAUUGGGUAACCUCGCAAUUGUGAAAUGGUUCGCAAUUGCGAACAACUUAGGAUAACAUUUGUGAUCACUUGGUCGCAUUUGCGAUGCCUAGCAAUAGUAGACUAUAUUCGCAAUUGCGAAGAUUGUGGUCGCAUUUGCGAAGGUGGGGACUUUGCAUCUGCGAACUUUUUGUUAUAUUUGCGACUUUUGUGACUCUGAGGCAGGGUUCGCAUUUGCGACCUUUGUCUCGCAUUUGCGAUGUUCGCAUUUGCGAACAAAACUUCGCAAUUGCAACAUUUGUAGCUGGGUAAAGGGGGGGGGGGAAACGGGACUUGGCUCAUUUCACAUUAUUUCUCAACCCUAAACACUCUAGAGAUAAUUUUUCAAGAAACUUUUCUUCCCAAAUUCAUUGGUAAGCGACUCUAAUCCAUUUCUUUUCAAUUACCCAUUACAUUUCAUGAGACUGCAACAUGAAAUUUAGGAUGUUCAUGGUAGAAAUUAGGAAUUUGGGUAAAAUUGAAGAUUUUUGUAAAAUUGAGAUUUAGACCUCGAAUUGGGGUCAUGUUUAGAAACAAAUCACAUCACCGGGCUCGGGGGUGAAUGGGUAAUCGGGUUUUGGUCUGAACCUCGAUUUUUACCAAGCGAGCGAAGUUGACUUUUGUUGACUUUUUCAAAAAUGAUCUAAAUCGAACCUCUUUCAUUUGUGGGUAGUUUCUAAAGCUUAUUUUGAAUCAUUUGGUCCAUAAUUUGCUAGAUUUGGUUGGUUUAGGAGCUUGUUCAAAAGGCAAGGUCGUGGUCGAUUGAUUGCUUGAGUUGCGGAUUGAGUUAAGUGUUGGGUCUAACCUUGAUUUGAGGGAAUUAAGAACUCUUGAUUUGCAUGUUAUGUUAAUUACGUGAGAGACGAUGUAUUUGAGAGGUGACAAGUGUAUAUGCGUUGUUAUGACUUCCAUGUUUUUGUUACUUCAUAAUAUAUCUUGUUUCAUGUCUUAACUGCUUAAUGCUUAUAUUUCUUCCAUGCCAUAAUUGUUCUUUGUCAUUCAGUUAUUUUUGUAUUAAAUUUUUCAUCCCUUCCAUGGUUCCAUGCUUCUUUGCUAUUUGUCUCCACUUGCUUUACUUGCAUAUUUAAAUCGUCGUAUAUCUUACUUGUCUUAAAUUUGUAAAAUUGGUUGCCUUCUAUGACGUAGUUUCACCUGUAUGAGUUGUUAAUUGGUAGAUAUUUAUGGGUUGGUAAAGUUAAGAAAUUUGAGUUGUUAGAGAUUCUUUGAUUAUUAUGUGCUUCUUCAUUGCCUUGUACAUACUCUCUUGACGUAGAAAUUCUUGUAAAUUUUGAUAAUUAAAUUGCUUAUUGUUGAUUGAUAUUGUUUGGAGAGUGGGUUGCACGCCACAAUGGAAAUUGAAAAGUAAUAAAUUAAAAUGGUGGAAUAAGGACGAAUUAUGAUAUUGACAAAUGAUGAUUGGUGGGAUCAGGUUGUGCGUCGCAACGGAUUGUAUAAGUUGUGUUUGCUUGUGACCGUUGGAUUUGCCUCGGUAUUUGAGAUGAGUUUAUAAGACUUGUUAUUCUAGGCUCUUUGGUAGUUGAAUUUUGAGUUCGUUGUUAUGAGUUAACUGCUUUAUUUUCAUUCCUUUUUUUUGUGUUAUUAUUAUUAUUAUUAUCGCGCUCAUGUUAUUGUAAGUGACCCGCCUUAGCGUCAUCACUAUUUCGUUGAAGUUAGGCUCGGCACUAUAGAGUACAUGAGGUCAGCUGUACUCAUACUACACUUUGCACUUCUUGUAUAGAUACCAAAGUUGGUCCCAGCAACGCCAAGUGAGAUUUGUUCAGAACUUGCUAUCGGUGGAGACUUGAGGUAUAGUUGCACGACGUCUGCAGCCCUGAAGUCCCCUUAUAUAUCAUCUUAGUUGUUUAUUUUGAUUCAGACAGUUAUGUUAUUUUGUUCAGACAAUUAUUUGUAAUACUCUAGACGCUCAUGUAUUCGUGACACCAGUUGUGGGAUUGCAUUUGGAUUUCGUCAUUUAUUUCAGAUUACUCAUUUUAUUGUUGUCAUAUAAUUUGGAAUUGUUAAAAAAGGUUAAUAGAUAUAAUUAACAUUGUCUUAUCUAGCAAGUGAAAUGUUAGGCACCAUCACGAUCCCAAAGAUGGAAAUUUCAGGUAAUGACAUUUAUAUAGUUUUUUAUCACUUAACCGUUAAUGAUGUCUACUCUCCCUUAAAUUUAUGACUCCCAAGUAUUUCCCAGAGAAGUGGAGGGAUAGCUUACCAGGAUUUUCAGGGUUUACACCAAAUAGAUGAAUGCAACACACUUAUCUUGCGUAUAAACUUUUAUCAUUGUUUACCCUAAAAACAGAUAACAAUUGAAUUCAUAUUGUGGUUUUAUGGGCACGUGAUUUAUUUUGCACAAACUGAGAGAAAACUUAAAUUGACAAUGAAAUUAAAUGAGAAUAUAAAUGAAGCAAACCAAAUAAAAUGCAUAACUUUAUUCCUUGAGCUAAACUGCCCUCGAAUUAAGUGAAUAUUUCGCCGGAAAGUAUGAACAUAGUAACAUGAAUAUUGAGAGCUUAAGCGAAAGUGAAUAUAUAGAUUUAUAUCAUGUGAAUAUGAUGAAUACAAAUGAUCAGCUCCCCUUUAUAUAGUAAGGGAGUCCUACUCCUAGUACAAUCUUAAAUAUGGUAAGAAAUCUCAUGAGCAACUGAUAAAUCGGCCUCUCUUUGAUACGUGCCGAGAUUUUCGCCGUGAUACUCGCUUGAUCGCGGAUAUCUUGGCUUUCCGUUAUUUGGUUCGACAUGCUUUGCUCGAUCUUGCUCAAUCUCUUUCCCGCUCAGUCUCGAUCUUGGCUGAUCUCGAUCUCGAUCGGUCCUUGAGUCAUGAGCUUAGUCAUCUAACUUCGUGUCAUGAUCCGGUAUGACAUGGGGUCGAACCUUGACCUUUCACACCCUAGUCUCGACUAGUCAUACUAAAAAGGGUAAGCCCAAUUCGACUGUAUACAGAUAGUCUCCUCGUUUUUUGGAGAGUACUGACAAGAACGAUUUGAGCCUUCGCUCUUCACUUCGAUAUAUCAUGACAUAAUCACCAAGACGCAAGUAGCAGAGGUAACCGAAAUGUCUCGUUGGUAUAGUUUCCUAGGCAUUUAAUGUGCAUCAGUCGACGGUCGGCUAUUACUGGCUUUGAACCGCCAUUGCGCAAGUAUAAAUACCCAUCUUCUUCACUUUUCAAACUUUACUUCGAAAUCUUCUUCACUUUAGUCUUCAAAAUCCUUCCCCUUCCUCAAAGCUUUGUAUUCUCAGAUCUUCGGUUUCCUUCGCCUGUUUCCUCGCAAGAUUCCAAGUGUUUCUUCUCAGUUUCCAUUCUCCUUCAUAAAAGUAAAAUGGCUAAGACUUCAAAAAUAGUUCCGCAAAAGGAAACCUCUUCUUCAUCAAGGCCCGCCGAUGACGAAACUGUGGCGGAGCCUCCCCUAGAGGACUUCGUUCCGACAAAAUGCCCCACUACUGCCGACUUUAAGGUAGAGAAAACACCCUCGACACCCGGUCUAUGCGAACCAAUGUCGUGAUACAUAUGCACAAUUACCGCUGAUCUCCUCGACCAAGUUUAAAAGGACUGCAACUAGGUUGACAAGCACGUGGUGGUGCCCUCGCCUUGGGAAUCAAUCACUACUCAUGUGGAAGGAUUUACUUAUACUUAUCCUUUCACAUUGGGUCCUUUAGACCCCAUCAUCAUUGCCUUCUGCAAGAAGGACAAUGUGACUUUUGGCCAGAUCCAUCCAUCAUUUUGGAGGAUCGUGAUCCCCCUCCGAUUUUUUGUAAACAAUAUCGAGGGGCAUCCUUUUACCCUAGAUGCCCUUAUGCGUCUCUAUAGUCCCUGGCUUUAUCGAGGAGGAUUGAUCCUUUACUGCCGAGCCACCAAACCCCUGUUCUUGAGCAUAGACAAGAGCCGAGACCGAGAUUGGAUGGGACGAUUUGUCUGAAUAAAGACUUUGGACCUAAUCCUUGCCGAAGACAUGCCGUUUCCUGAAAAAUAGAACAUGAAUCGUAAGUAUUUCUUUGCCUUGAAUAUCUAACUUUUCUGUUUUACUUCUCAUCUUCUUUCCUCAUCUAAAUUUUUUGUGUUACAGUUGUGGCCCAUGUGCCAGAAUUAAUCCCCGAUAUCAGUCAAUGGGUUGAGGGCUUAGUGUCGUAGUAGUCUUACUCCGAGCGUGCUUGGAUGGAGUUAUCAAAGGGUCAAUGGGAGGCAUGUAACCACGGUAAUCUUCUUUUCUUGGUACGGUUUCCAUUCAGGCUUUGCAUUGAGCUUACUCAUUUUAUUCCUUUUGUAGUCCUCGGGAAGGAUGUAGCAAUGAGGUCCCCAUUUGCCGAAGAAGAGGCACUUCUCUCAUCACUUUCCCCGAAGCAGGCCAAAGAGAAGAAAAGAAAAGAGGCUCCGAGCAACCCGGGCCCGGAAAAUAAAAGACCGGAUAGGAGGCACCGUAAGCCUAAGGGUGAUACCAAUGCUAUGCAUCCGGACUCGAUCCGUCAACUAAUAGAUGAGUCCGAAGAGGAGGAAGGUUCCAGUUUGAUAGCCCAUAAGCAGACUGGCGCUUCGAUAUAAAAGUCCCCCGAACCGAUGGACGUUGACAAGGGAGCUUCGACCGAAAUUUUGGAGCCAGAAAGGGUCGAGGCCGCUCCAUCCCAAACUGAGAUGAUCGAGGAGGGAAACAGAGGCAAGGACUCUUGAAUAGAUGAAGAUUUCCUAAGGGACGAACUCAGAGUGAUUGAUAUCUCUGAGUCCCCUCAAUUUUCGUACUCCACGAUCCGUCAAGCUGUUAACUUGGUAGGCCCCCUUGCGAGGGUCUUCAGGGUCCAGUUGACAUCCACACCUUCCUAGAAUGGGUGGAGUUUGAAGCUUUGGGUGAUAACACCGAUUUUGGUGACUUACUGGUGCCGAAGAAAACACUGUCAUCAGAUGUUGUUGGGUCUUCAUCGAGCUCGAAACUAGUGGACCGGUUCGCGGUCCAUAGUGCUAAGUCCAAUCAUAGACGUACUAUAGUGCUCACUGUCCCGGAGGAUGCUCGGGUCUUCUCUCCUCCAAUGGGUAUCGCUAGUUACCUGAGAUGCUUGGUGACCAAAGAGGAUCAAGUCGUGAUGGACGCGGUGGGAGACGCUUGUUUAUUUAAUGAGGCUCAGCACGUUUUGAAUCGGGUAAGUUCAAGGGCCACUCCAUUAUCUUUUUAAAACUUUGAAUUGUAGAUAGUUCUAAGAUUUUUCUCCUUACUCGUAGGCUUUGGUGCUGCAUCAUGAGGCUUUCCUCGAAUCCGAGAGCAGCACAAGGCUGAGGUUCAGGGCCAAGAACUGGACCACCACAGUAGCAUAGCUACUAAUAUUAUUUAAAAAACAAGUCUUUUGAGCAUUUUGUUUUGAAAACACCUUUCUUUUAGUAUUUUGUUUUGGAAAACAUUGUUUUGAAGUCAUCUAGACGAUACUUUGUUUAAUGUUUCAGCAUUUAUCAAAUAAUUUGAUGUUUUAUUAUUGUUAUCUUUCAUAUUUUUCUUCUACAACAUUAGUAUUUCUUACCUUGAUGAACCAACGAUUGUGACAUGUAAUGAGACAACGCAACAUAAGGAUAGUGACUCAGAAGAAGAAGAUGAGAUACCUGAGGAAGUUAUCAAAAAAGUUGAGAAUUCCGAGAAUAAGCCUAAGUCCAACCUGGACGAAACCGGGACAAUCAAUUUGGGAGAUUCUGAAACCAUCAAAGAAACUCGCAUAAGUAUUCACCUGUCACCGUCAGAGAAGGAAGAAUACACUCGUUUCCUAAAAGAAUAUGAGGAUAUUUUUGCGUGGUCAUAUGAUGACAUGACCGGUCUGAGCACAUCCAUGGUGGCUCAUAAGUUUACUACCAAUCCAAUGUGUCCACCGGUGAAGCAGAAGCUCAGAAAGUUUAAACCAUACAUGAGCCUAAAAAUCAAGGAGGAAGUCACUAAGCAGAUCAAAUCCAAAGUCCUCAGGGUAGUUGACUACCCACCCUGGUUAGCCAACAUUGUACCGGUUCCAAAGCGAGAUGGGAAGGUCAGAGUGUGUGUUGACUAUCGGGAUUUAAACAGAGCACGUCCCAAGGACGAUUUGCCACUGCCAAAUAUACACAUUCUGAUCGACAAUUGCGCCAAGCAUGAACUCCAAUACUUUGUAGAUUUCUUCACGGGUUAUCAUCAUAUUUGUAUGGACGAAGAAGACGUAGAGAAAACAACUUUCAUUACACCAUGAGAAGUGUAUUGCUACAAAAUAAUGUCAUUCGGUCUGAAGAAUGCUGGGGCCACCUAUAUGAGGGUCAUGACGACCAUAUUCCAUGAUAUGAUACAUAAGGAAAUAGAGGUAUAUGUUGACGACGUCAUCAUCAAAUCCAAGAAAUCCACAGAUCACAUAGCAGACUUAAAGAAGUUCUUUGGCAGGCUACGGAAGUACAAUUUAAAACUGAACCAUGCAAAAUGUGCAUUCGGGGUUCCUAUUGGAAAAUUAUUGGGAUUCAUCAUCAACCACCGAGGAAUCGAGUUAGAACUGUCAAAGGUUAAAGCUAUCCAAGAAUUACCACCACCGAAGAAUAAGAAGGACGUGAUAAGUUUCCUGGGAUGCCUCAAUUACAUCAGCCACUUUAUAGCACAGUCUAUAGUAAUAUGUAAACCAAUUUUCAAAAAGUUGAAGAAGGAUGUUGCAACCAGUCAGACUAAGGAUUAUCAGAAGGCUUUUGACAAAAUCAAGGAUUACCUAUCCACACCACCAGUCCUAGCCCCACCAGAGCCUGGUAGGCCACUGCUACUCUACCUCUCUGUAUUAGAUGGGUCUUUCGGUUGUGUUUUGGGACAAUAUGACAAGACAGGAAGAAAGAAGCAAGCCAUAUAUUACUUGAGUAAGAAGUUCACACCUUAUGAAGCACGGUACACUCUGCUAGAACGCACUACUUAUGUGCCUAUACCGCAUACCUCAUAUCAAGGAUGGAAACUCUGAAGUACAUCUUUCAGAAGCCUAUGCCUACCGGAAAGUUGGCCAAGUGGCAAAUAUUGCUGAGUGAGUUCGAUAUCAUCUAUGUAACUCAGAAUGCAGUCAAAGGACAAGCUUUGGCAGAUCUUCUUGCUGAAAAUCCUGUAGGAGGAGAAUACGAACCACUAAAAAUAUAUUUUCCUGAUGAUGAAGUAUCAUUCGUAGGAGAGGACAUUGUUGAAGCCUACGACGGUUGGAGAAUAUUUUUCGACGGAGCUGCAAAUUUCAAAGGAGUGGGUAUUGGAGCAGUUUUUGUGUCAAAAAUAGGUCAACAUUAUCCGGUUUCCGCAAAGCUUAGGUUUCCAUGCACCAACAAUAUGACAGAUUAUGAGGCUUGCAUCAUGGGGCUUAAUUUUUCCAUCGACAUGAAUAUACAAGAGUUGAUGGUAAUUGGUGAUUCAGAUCUUCUGGUACAUCAGGUUCAAGGAGAAUGGGCUAUAAAAAAUACAAAGAUACUACCAUACCUGUAUCAUGUGCAAGAACUGAUGAAGAGGUUCACGUAAAUAGAAUUCAAACAUGUUCCAAGAGUCCAUAACGAGUUUGCAGAUGCACUGGCUACUUUGUCUUCCAUGAUACAACAUCCGGAUAAGAAUUUCAUCGAUCCCAUUCCAGUAAGGAUCCAUAGUCAGCCAGCUUAUUGUGCUCAUGUUGAGGAAGAAACAAACAGAAAUCCAAGGUUCCACGAUAUCAAGGAAUAUUUGGCGAAAUAAGAAUACCCAAAGCAGACGAACCAUACUUAGAAACGCACACUGCGUAGGCUAUCCAAUCAUUUCUUCCAAAGCGGAGGAAUUUUGUAUAGGAGAACACCUGAUCUAGGACCAUUAAGGUGUGUUGAUGCCAAAGAAGCUUCCAAAUUGCUCGAGAAAAUACAUGGCGGAACCUGCGGUCCACAUAUAAAUGAUUUUGUUCUAGCCAAGAAGAUACUCGGAGCAGGAUACUUUUGGAUGACUAUUGAAACAUAUUGCAUCUGGUAUGUCCAGAAAUGCACCGAUGCCAGAUACAUGAUGAUAUGAUAUGAGUGCCACCAAAUGAACUCAAUACAAUAAGUGCACCUUGGCCUUUUAUUGCCUAGGGAAUGGAUGUCAUUGGUCCGAUUGAACCCACUGCUUCAAAUGGGCACAGGUUCAUUUUAGUGGCUAUCGAUUACUUCACAAAAUAGGUAGAGGCAGCAUCUUACAAAGCUGUAACCAAGAAAGGCAUCGCAGAUUUUGUCAGGGAUAGUAUUAUUUGUCGAUUUGGGGUUCCCAAAUCUAUCAUCACUGACAAUGCCGCCAAUCUCAACAGGGAUCUGAUGAAGGCCAUGUGUGGAACUUUCAAAAUACAGCACAAAAACUCCACAACAUACAUGCCUCAAAUGAACGGAGUCGUGGAAGCUGCCAACGAAAACAUCAAGAAGAUACUAAGGAAAAUGGUAGAGAAUCACAAGCAAUGGCACGAGAAGUUACCAUUUGUCUUAUUGGGAUACCAUACCACAGUCCGUACAUCAACCGGGGAAACUCCCUAUUUGCUGGUUUACGGUGUCGAAGCUUAGCCUCGAUAGAUUUCAUGUUAGCAUCGGGUUUUCAGGAGGUCAUGGGUUGUAUGCUACAAUUCAUGGACACUAUGACUCAGGCUAGUCUAUUUCCAGCAGACCCAGCCAUAUCUUAGGCAGGAGGGGGAGAACAGACCCCUACUGCUCAGGCUUCAGGGCUUGUGGCUGCCGUAUAUCUUACACUACCUGUGGGUGGAGCCCAGCCACUUGCCGCAGCUGCACCUGAGCCUAGACCAGCUGCGUACGGUGAUCUACAGAAGCUAUUGGACAGAUGGACUAGGCUACACCCUCCUAUCUUCAGGGGUGAGCGACAUGAGGAUCCCCAGGACUUUAUUGAUCGGUGCAAGGAUAGACUGCACAAUUGUGAGAUGUGUAUAGGGAUGUUUGAUGCAGUGCAGGACUAAUCUAAAAAAAUUUGACACUCUCUGAAGUUUAGACCGUGGCCGCACUCCAUUUUUUGUGGUCCGCAGUGGCCUUAUCGCGGGGACAGAAAUUGUUCCCGGUCAACGGUGCUAAAAGGCCAAAAGUGAAGGCUCUUUGAAGUUUCAACCGCUACCACAGUGAAUUUUUACGGUAAGUGGUGGCUUGCCGUUGUCGUAAAUGGAUUUUUCGCGGUCCGCGGUGGUCCCAAAGCAAUAGCCCUUCUGAGUUUUACAACCGUGGUCCGUGGUGCAUUUACUGCGGCUACAGUAGGUAAGAAUAAGUGGGUCCCAGGGCUUGUCUACAAAUAGGACCUCAAGGCCCCCUUUUACACUUUUCGCCCUUUGCACUCUCAAUCACUAGAAACUACUGUUCACUCACGCCUUAAUUUGCAUAAUACAGGAACUGAACUUCAUCUGUAUUCCAUCUCACUUCUGGUAAUUCAAAUCUAUCCUUAGUCUUUAAUUUUAUUUUUAUUUUCUUUUAAUUUGAUAGUUAUUAAUUAUUCUUCUUCCUUUUUCUUUCAAUUUAAACAUAGGGUUCCAUAGUGUUAAUUAGAUUAGGUUUUAAUUCAAUGAAAAAUGUGAUACCUAUAAGCUUCUCAGUGAGAAGCUUCGGGCAGAUUUGGUGACGGCUCAAGAUGAGCAUGCUGAGAUAGUCGAGUCGGUAUUCCGAGUGCUUCAUGAUAGUGAAGUUGAGUUGGAGAUAACAACUAAUGAUCCAAUUCUGCAGGUCCGCCAGAGGUUUGAACAAAUCAAGGACCUUCAAAGGCGAAUAUAUAAAGUACAAUCUGAGGCUAAAAAGUUCAAGAGGUUCAUGGGCAUCGUAGCUUCAAAAAAGGAGGUCGUCCAAGCAUAGGUGGAGUCCGCCGUGUCUCAGCUUUGGGCUGGAAGGGAGAAUGCCUCGGUUCAGGCAAAGAAAAUCGAGAAGCUUCAGUCCAAUUUAGCCAACUUGGCCAAAGAGCUCGAGGUGGCCAGAUCUGAGGCGGCCACGGCCAAUGAUAAGGCCCAGGCUAAUGCGACCCAAUACACGGUCGAUGUUGAAGCCACCUUUACACGGCCAAGAGCAUGGUGGAUCAUGCACGAUGGAAAGCUCGAAGGGAGGCCUUCGAGGGUGCUCGUGAUCAAAACUUUGAUAUAUCUACUGAAAUUGAGAUUUCCAGGGCAGAAGAAACAAUGGCUCGUAAGCUGGCUUUUCUCGAGGAAGACUCCAAGAAUCUGAGCUAAUCCGGCGGUGGAGAAGACUCUGAGGCGAAGAUGCCUCUUUUGAUAAGGACUAUGCUACUUAGGCUUUGUAAUUUUGUUUUUAUUUUGAAGCCGAUCGGCCCUUGUAAAGAACUCUUAAUCGGGCCAUAUGAUCCUUGUAAAAAGGCUUUUGAGAUAUAUGUUAAACACUUUCUUCCCUUCCAUGGCUCCUGAAUUUGCUGUCUUUUGUUUAGUUUAUACAAAGGUCGAAGUGCCUUAGCAUGAAAUAAUCGGAUCGCAUUCGAAGCUUUGAGAUGGUAAGGACCGAUGUUAAGUACUAUCCUUGACCAUUCCUGAUCGGUAAACCUAGAUCGAAAGCUUGAAUUCGAACUGAGGCGGUUUUGUGUCAAGUGAGAUUAUUUAUUUAAAUUUGAAUCAAGUUAACCCUUAAGUUUGAUAACCGAGUGAGAUUGGUUUCUCAAACUCAAAAAUAAACAUAACCCUUAGGCUUUAAUAGUCGAGUGAGGUCUUUCCUGAACUCGAAAUAAGAUAGCCCUUAGUAUUUCUAGUCGAGUGAGAAUGAUCUCUCGAACUCGAAGUAAAAAUAGCCCUUAGGCCUUUGUAUUUUACUUUCUUUUAUUUUUGGCCGAUCUGGCUUUUUGUGAAACGAUCGUUUUUGUAUAUAUAUAUGGCUUUCCACCUUUUUUGGAUCUAAAAUUUUUCCUUUGCUUUAUUGCUUCUAAUCACAAAGGUUAGAAUGCCUUAGCACAAAAUAGUAAGGUUGUGUUCGAGGGUUCGAACAAACUUUGCCCUUAUUGCCCUUUUGGGUUAAGGCGUUAUCAGGUUUCGGUGUUUACCGAAGUUUUUUCCCAAAUAUAUCUUAAGAUUAAGGUUAUGCUGAGGGUAGCCUUUAGAACCGGUUGUGAAAGAUUUUUUUCUUUUUCGAAGGCCUGUAUUUGUUCGGAUUUCGGACGUCUCCAAACCGUGUUAAAUGGGUCGUAGCAUUUUAGUUCGGGCUUAUCCCAUCGAGCUCGCUUUCCCGAGUUAUCUAGGCUUGCUUAAGAUAAUAGUCCCCGAGUAGGUAUGGUCAUGUACUUUAAAAUUCGAGGGUUGUCUAAAAGGUCUUCUGCCCCUGAUGUUCAAUAGUUCGAUCUGUUUGAGUUUAUUUUAUGGACGGCAGUCCCCGAGUGUUGGGGUGAUUAUCCGAACACUGGUUGCAAUCGGCCCUUGGGCUUGUUUCCAAAACAGAUCAAAAGUAUGGGGUCGUAAAGUGAAAUUUUUUCCAAGACAUUAAGUGGGAAUUUGGACAUAAGAAUUGUAAAAUUCCAAAAAAGGGUGAAAAAAAUUUUCAAGUGAAAAUGGUAUUUGAAAUUUUGAGUUGUGUUUGGAUGAAUAUAAUUUUGGGUUAUUUUUGAAGUUUUGUGAAUGAUUUGAGCAAAAAUUUUGAAAACGGGUUUUUGGAGUUUUUUAAAUUUUCAAAGAUUUCCAAAAUACAUCUUUAAGUGAAAAAUGAAAAUUUUAUGAACAAACGCUGAUUUGGAAAAAAAGUGAUUUUUUUUUUUUGAAAAAAGGCAAAAAUUUCUUAUGUCCAAAUGGGCUCUUAAUAGUUGCAAGAAAAGUACUUCUCUUUAUUCUUGUCAAAAACAAUCACAUGUGCAUACAUGUUUUCUGUCAGGGCUCGAUUAAUCUAUGUGGGCACGAUUCGUUUUGACCGUUUGGCCCUAACAAUAAAUCCUAGUUAUUGAGACCCUUUCAUUUUGAAAUAAUUUCCUUGCUAGAAUAAUUCAAUAUACGAAGGUAACCCCCCCCCCACCCCCAGUAUUUGAUGUUGAUUGUAGAGAAUCUCAGAUACUAUAAACACAGUCUUUGAUACCGAUUCAGGAUCAGCCUUCAAUUCUAAGGUAGCACGAUCCAUUGUUGCCUCGUUAAAAACCUUGCCGAAAAACCUAUUUGGGAUAAAACGGUUCAAGGGAAAAAGAGUGCAACGUGUGCUUUCAGACUUAAUGGCUUCGUACUGCUCCUCGUUGAUAACCUGCAAGUGUUAGUCAAAAAAUAGAAAGAAUUGAAAUGGGGUCAUACCUCAGCAGUAAUAUCGUUUGAGAUGAGUUACGUUCCAAUUAUUCGGUAGUUGUUCUCCAUCCAUCGUUCCGAGCUUAUAGGAUCCUUUUCUUGUAUUUCGAGGAUCUGGUAUGGCCCUUCCCAAUUCGGACCCAAUUUUCCUUCAUUUGGAUUUCGAGUGUUUAACGUGACCUUCCUCAGUACCAAGUCCCCGAUAUUAAAGUAUCAAUGGUUAGCCCUUCGAUUGUAAUACCUCUCGUUCAUUAUUCUGGGCAGCCAAUCAAAUAAAGGCAACUUCAUGUCGUUCAUCUAAUAGCUCCAGGCUCGUAUUCAUGGCAUUGUCAUUUUAUUCCUUCAUCGCAUAUCGUAAUUUGAUGCUCGGCUCCCAAACUUCGACCGAUAUUAAAGCUUCAACUCCAUAAAACAAAGAGAACGGGGUAGCCUCGGUACUGGACUUCGAAGUUGUGUGGUACGCCCAAAGGACUUCGGGCAAGACUUCUCUUCAUUUUCCUUUGGCAUUGGUCAACCUUUUCUUGAGGUUUUGAAUUAUGGUUUUGUUGGUCGAUUCGGCUUUCCUAUUCCCACUAGGGUGAUAAUGUGUUGAUAAAAUCCUUUUGAUCUUAAGGCCUUCGAGAAAUUUGGUCACCUUCCUGCCGAUAAACUGUUUUCCGUUGUCACAUGUAAUUUCGGAUGGUAUUCUGAAUCGACAUAUGAUAUGGUCCCAAAUAAAGUCGAUGACUUCUUUCUCCCCGACAUUCUGAUAGGCCUAUGCUUCAACACACUUAGAGAAAUAGUCAGUCAUAAAUAAAAUAAAUUGAGCCUUACAUGGUGACGAUGGAAGAGGGCCAAUGAUGUCCAUACCCCACUUCAUGAACGGCCAUGGGGAUAAAAUGGAAUGCAACAUCUCCCCAGGUUGAUGAAUCAUUGGAGCAUGUCUUUGACAUUUAUCAAAUUUUUAUACAAAAUCUUUCGCAUCUUUUUCCAUAUCAAUCCAGUAAUAGUCGUCUCUCAGUGAUUUGGCGCCCGAGUGGUUCCCACAUGUGCCUUUGUGGACUUCCCUCAAAAGAUACUCGGUAUCUCGUCGUCCCAGACAUAUUACUAGCGGACCGUCGAACAUCCUUCUAAGUAAGGUUCCAUCUUUGGACAAGCUAAAUCGGGCUGCCUUCGUGCGUAGGGCCCUCGAUUCCUUUGGAUCUGAAGGAAGUUUCGUUAUUCAAAUACUCUAUGUAUUUGUUUUUCCAAUCCUAGGUCAAGCUUGUGGAGUUUAUCUCGACGUGGCCUUCUUUGACCACUGACCUCAUGAGUUGUACGACAGCCCCCGAAUUGAGUUCAUUGUCUUCAACCGACGAGCCUAGGUUUGCGAGGGCAUCGGUUUUGCUAUUUUGAUCCCGAGGCACAUGCUGAAAAGUUCAUUCCUUGAACCGAUGUAGAGUUACUUGUAGCUUAUCCAAGUAUCUUUGCAUUCAUUCCUCUCAAACUUCAAAGGUUCCGUUAACCUAAUUCACAACGAGGAGGGAGUCGCAUUUGGCUUCGAUCACCUCUUCUCCCAAGCCUUUAGCUAGUUCGAGACCUGCAAUCAUGGCAUCAUAUUCGUCCUCAUUGUUAGUCAAUUUUAUAGUUCUAAUAGAUUGUCUAACCACGUUACCUAUGGGUGGUUUUAGCACGAUGCCGAGUCUGGACCUUUUUACAUUCGAAGCACCGUCCGUAAAGAGGGUCUAGAUCACCGAAGAUAUACCCGAGUUGACUAACAAUUCUCUUUCAACCAUGGGUACUAGGGUUGGCGUGAAGUCAUCCACGAAGUCUGCGAUGAUUUGAGACUUGAUGGUUGUUCGAGGUCGAUACUCAAUAUCGUACCCGCUGAGUUUUACGACCCAUCUAGCCAAUCAUCUCGUAGUUCAGGUUUAUGCAAAAUAUUUUGAAGUGUAUAAGUUGUUACAACACAUAGAGGAUGACAUUGAAAGUACGAUUUAAGUUUCCUAGAUGCGCUUAUGAAAGCAAGUGCUAACUUUUCUAGAUGAGGAUAUCUAGUUUCGGCUUCACCUAGGGUCCGACUAACAUAAUAGAUAGGAAAUUGGAUACCUUGUUCUUCACAAAAUAGGACUCCACUUACUGUUAUCUCCGAUAUUGCUAGAUAUAAGUAUAGUUGUUCGUUUGCCUUCGGCGUGUGAAGCAGCGACGGGCUCGACAAGUAUCGCUUAAGUUCCUCCAAAGCCUGUUGACAUUCUGGGGUCCAUGUGAAGUUGUUCUUCUUUUUCAGCAACGAGAAGAAUCGAUGACUUUUGUCGGACAAUCUAGAGAUGAAUCGACCCAGGACUGCAAUACCCCCUGUUAGCCUUUGUACGACCUUCACAUUAUCCACUACCGCGAUAUCCUCGAUUGCUUUGAUCUUAUUGGGGUUGAUCUCGAUUCCCCAAUUCGACACCAUGAAUCUGAGAAACUUGUUGGACCCACCCCGAAUGCACAUUUCUCCGAGUUGAGCUUCAUUUUGUAUUUCUUCAAUAUACUGAAAGUUUCCAGCAAAUGCUUCAAAUGGUCCUCUGCUCGCAGGGGCUUAACUAGCAUGUCAUCAAUAUAAACUUCCAUAUUUUCCCUAUUUGUUCUUCGAACAUUCGAUUUACUAGGCGUUGAUAGGUUGCACCAACAUCUUUUUUAGUCUGAAUGGCAUUACAUUAUAACAGUAGGUACCAUACUUAGUGAUGAACAAAGUUUUUUUCCUGGUCUUUCGGGUUCAUUUGUAUUUGGUUGUACCCGAAAUAGGCAUCGAGAAAACUGUGAAUCUCGUGGCACACCGUGGUAUCGAUUAUGCGAUCGAUGUUAGGCAAAGGAAAAGAAUUCUUGGGCAUGCUUUGUUUAGGUCUUUGUAGUCUACAUACAUCCUAAGCUUGUUUCUUUUUUUUGGACUACUACUAAAUUCACUAACCAUUCGGGAUAUUUUGCUUCCCGGAUGGAUCCUAUUUUGAGUAGUUUGGUUACCUCGUCUUUGAUGAAAAUGUGUUUCACCUCGGACUGAGGCCUCCUUUUUUGUUUUACUGGGCGGAACUUCGGGUCCAAUCUUAGUUUAUGAGUAGUGAUCUCCGGUGGAAUCCCUGUCAUAUCGAGAUGGGACCAGGUAAAACAAUGCAUAUUAGCGAUAAGAAAUUGAAUAAGUUUUUUCCUGAGCUCGAGAGUUAACCCCGUGCCCAGGUAUACCUCUCGAUCGGGCAGAUGCUCGACCAGUAUGAUUUGUUCCAGCUCUUUGACCAUUGAUUUUGUAGCGUCAGAAUCCUUGGGGAUUUUGAAGGAUCAAGGUAUCAUAUAGUCAUCAUCCUCGUACGUCCCCUGCUCCUCCGGUUGGGUCGAGGCCGAUGUCUGUGGUUGCUAUUUAACCUUUUGCUUUCCCUUCUAACUUGACCCUUUUAUUGAUGAGAGCGCCGAUAUUGGUAUCACUUCGACGAUGGCACAUUUCGUUGGUGGCGGGUUGCUCCCCGUAGACUUUUUUGACUCCCUCUAGCGUUGGAAAUUUUAGAACCUGGUUAAGGGUCGAAAGUAGUGCCCUCGUGUUAUGGAUCCACGGUCUCCCGAAUAUAGCAUUAUACUUCAUAUCGCCCUCGAUCACAUGGAACUUCGUUUCUUGGAUGGUCCCAUCCACGUUUACUACAAAGUUAUUUCGCCUUUCAUGGUUUCACAUGCCAUAUUGAAGCCGUUUAGAACUCGGGACGCGGGUACAACCUAAUCCUAAAAGCCGAGUUGUUCUAUGAUCCUUUAUCGAAUUAUGUUGGUCGAGCUACCUAGAUCAAUCAAAGCACGUUUAACUUGAGUCUUAUUCAUAAGUACAAAUAGUACCAAUGCGCAAUUGUGAGGUUGUUCAAUCCCUUCUACAUCCUUGUCAUUGAAAGACAAGGUUACUUCCGGUAUGUAAUCUCGAGUUCGCUUCUCUCUUGUGAUCGACACCUUAGGUGCGCUUUCAUACUGGUCCUUGAGAAGUAUCGACCCCGCCAACGAUCAUAUGAAUCACGUGUAGUGGUUCUUCUUCCUUGUUUUGUCUACUGGAAUCACUGUUUUUGAAGUGAUUCUUGGCCCGAUCGCUUAAGAAUUCCCGAAGAUUCCCCUCAUUGAACAAUCGGGCUACUUCUUCCCUUAGCUAUCUGCAAUCUUUUGUUUUAUGACCAUGGGUGCUAUGAUACAUGCAUAUUUGUUGGGAUUUCUUUGGGUUGGAGCGGUUUGUAGAGGUCGAGGCCAUCUAGUAUCCUUAAUACGUUCGAUGGCUGAUACGAUGGUGGAUGUAUCUACGUUGAAGUUAUAUUCCAAUAGUCGUGGAGCUUCUUUAGGCCCGGCAUCCUUGUCGAAAACCACCCUUGCUCAUGAGUCCUUGUGAACUUUGACCUCGAUCAUUUCUCAUCUCAUUCUGUGCAAAGUUUCGCCCAGACCUGCUACAUCUAUGGUCUAUGUUGUAUGGUUGAUAUCUCUAUUCAACCUUGGCUCUCGGUCGAUAUCUCUCUUGAUUCUCUCUACGGGCCUGUUAGGAUAAACGGACCCGGAAGGAGUCCCCGGUUGAUCAUCCUCGACCCUGAUCUUUGACUAAUAUCGAUUAUGUCUUCGGCCCAAGUGACAGCUGGAUACUCGAUUGCUUCAACUGCUAUGAAGCUAUGGAACUCCGAAUGUUGAGACCUUGAGUGAAAGCUUGAACAGCCCAAUCAUCGGUGACCAGUGGCAAAUCCAUUCUCUCCAUUUGAAACCAAGAUACGAAUUCCCUGAGCAUCUUGUUGUCCUUUUGCCUUACCUUGAAAAGGUCUGACUUUCUUGUUGCGACCUUAAUGGCUCCAGCAUGUGCCUCUACAAAAGAAUCUACAAGUAUAGCAAACGAGCCAAUAGAAUUAGGCGGUAAAUAAUGAUACCAUAUCAUGGCACCCUUCGAUAGAGUCUCCCCGAAUUUCUUCAGCAAUAGGGAUUCAAUUUUGUCAUCUUCCAAGUCGUUUCCUUUGAUGGCGCAUGUGUACGAGGUGACGUGUUCAUUUGGAUCAGUCAUCCCGUUAUACUUAGGAAUCUUGGGCAUACGGAACUUCUUGGGCAUUGGCUUCGGAGCCGCACUUGGGAGGAAAGGUUUUUGUACAAACUUUAUAGAAUCUAGUCCCUUCAAUAUCGGUGGUGCCCCCGGGAUUUGGUCGACCCUGGAGUUAUAGGUUACCACAUUCUUAUCAUUUUCCUCGAUCUUCUUUUCCCCUAUCUUGAUUCGCUUUGUCAAUUCUUCGAGCAUCUUUAUAAUAACGGGAUUGUCUCCUAUUCCUUUUUGUUUUAUUUUCUUGAAGCCGAUUCGACCCUAUGUAUAAAUUCUUGGGAUAGCUCGAGUUCGACCCUGCUUGGUAUUUGGUUCUGAUUUUGGAGCUGAGCUAUUGCUGCCUGUUGGGCCAACAUUUCGAAGAUUACCUGCAGGUUGAUCCCCCCAUCUUCACUGCCAUGUGCAUUCUGAGUAGCUGAUCGGGUAUCUCCACAAAUGAUGCUUUCUAGAUUGACGGCCGAAUUUCCAUUGAUGGAUACAUGCAAACUGACGUCGAUCAAAUCUACAGCCGGAGCUCCAUCGAGGCCAGCAUGGGGUACAACAUUUCCUAGUGCAAUGUUCUCAUUCUCGCCGUAGUGGCUGAGAUCAUUGUCACUGUGUUGAGGUGCUAGCUGAGAGCUCGACAUUUUCUAAUCUUGUAAUCAAAGACACUUCAAAGAACAAACGUAAAAUAGUGUGUGUUACGAAAAUUUGUUCCAGGCAAUCACUAUUAUCUUUAGCCCCAUGAUAGGCGCCAAAGUGUUUGCCCUAAAAACGGAAACAAUUGAAUUUAUACUGUGGUUUUAAGGGCACGUAAUUUACUUAGCACAAAUUGAGAGAAAACGUAAAUUGACGAUGAAAUUAACUGAGAAUAUAAAUGAAGCAAACCAAAUAAAAUAUAUAGCUUUAAUCCUUGAGCUAGACUGCCCUCGAAUUAAGUGAAUAUUUCGCCGGAAAGUAUGAACACGGUAACAGGAAUAUUGAGAGCUUAAGAGAAAGUGAAUAUAUAGCUUUAUGUCACGUGAAUAUGAUGAUGAAUACAAAUGAUCAGCUCCCCUUUAUGUAGUAGGGGAGUCUUACUCCUAGUACUAUCCUAAAUACGGUAAGAAAUCCCAUGAUCAACUGAUAAAUCGGCCUCUCCUUAAUACGUGUCGAUAUUUCUGUCGUGAUCCUCGCCUGAUCACGGAUAUCUUGGCUUUCCGUUAUUUGGUUCGACAUGUUUCCUUCGAUCUUGCUCGAUCUCUUUCCCGCUCGGUCUCGGUCUUGGUUGAUUUUGAUCUCGAUCACUCCCUGAGUCACGAGCUUGGCCAUCUAACUUCGUUUCAUGAUCCGGUACGACAUGGGGUCGAACCUUGGCCUGUCACGCCCCGGUCUCGACUAGUCAUACUAAAAAAGCCAAGCUCGAUUCGGCCGUAUACAAUCAUCUAGUCAUAAUUAAGUGAUUAUGCAUUAAUCUCACUUUAAUUGUAUAACUCUAAUUAUGAUUAAAUUAAUUUGUUUGAUUUAGUAUAAUGUCUAACAUGCAAAUUGAAUAGGGAGAAUACAUAAGCUGCCCCGCUGUGUCGUGUUCGCUUGGGAUGGUUUAUAGCCGUCGUUGAAAAGGAAAAAUACUUAUUGCUUUGCGCAAAAGAGGAACCAUCCAUGCAAUUCUCGUUAAUUGACAUUUGCUACAGAAUGUGAACACAUAUGGCUAUUGAUAUCGUUGAAUAGUUUUAAGUUCUGUGCAUUAUAUAUGAGGCAGACAGUUCUCGAACUGCAAUUUUUGUUCUUUUCUAUUUUGUAUCAAUCAAAUCUAAUAAAAAUCGGGCAUGAAGGUGAUACUUUCACCAUUGUCUCUAUUAUGCUAAUAAUAUAACUUUGUAUACUAAUGUUAACAUCAAAACUUGGCAAAAAUCAAUAGAAUAAUUAGAAUGGAAAAUGGACAAAGUCCAAAAUCUGCACCAUAGAGAUGGGUAAUUAAAACCAAAUUACUGCAAUGAGAGAAGAGUUACUGUAUUUGAUCAUUUGAAAAAAAAAAUGAAUAUAAAAAUUUGAGGAAAUGAUUUCGAAAAGCAGGCUCAACUUGUAUUGUAUUGAUUUUUUAUUCUUUUUCGUAUUUUCAUAAUACUUAAAAUCUGAAAAAUAUAUAAUCUUUACAUGGUAAAUUUUAUGACUUUUUGUAGUGCUUGUGUUUUCCCGCUCAAAUAACAUUGAUUGUCUUUAAUGAUAAAGUAAACUAAGCUGCUGCAAAUAUUGACUUUAACUAAACCAACAAUCUACUUUCCGAUCAAGCUAAACAAAUAUAGUUCAUAUUUUAACUAAAAAAUUAAUAAUAUCGUAUAAUAUAUCUCAUGAAAAUACAAGAAAGACACACAAAGGGAGAAGAAAAAGUAACAUAUGGUUUUUGAGGAUUAUAAAACAAAUAAGUCAACGUUUGUCUUGAAUAUAGUCAAUUCUCAAAAAGGUAAAACAAACCCCAAUAAGAAGGUUCGAGGAACUAGUUUUAUAAGCAUGAAUUAUCCGUAUUAGUUCGGCCAAUGGGUUUUGAAUUGCUAUUCUUUUGUUUUUCCUCUCCCAUCAUGCCUCCGCAUGUGUCAAAUUCAUGUAAUCAUGUUAAUACAUCGGCUAAAGACUUUUAGAAGCUAAUCCCUAUCCACUUUGGUCUUUGAGAGUGAAAGCGGAAGUUUCAAGGAAACAAGACAUUACUUGUAAAAGUUCACUGGUAUUUGUCUAAUUGUUUGUAUCCUGCUAUGUUAAAUAGGUUUGAACAUAUAAAGUUAAACCUUUCUGUAUACCGUGAAAAUGGUAACAACAAUUAAAUUUGUAAAUAGGAUUCUAAAAAUACGUGAUCUAUUUUUAUGCUAAUUGUUAGAGCAGAUGAUGCUAGGAAUAUGAAAUUUAACGAUGAAAUGCAAGCUAAAACGAGGUAAUAAUCAAACCGAGGGGCUUACUACCCUGGCUUCGGACUGGUCAAUGGAGGACCUCGGGGUCGAUAUCUGGCUCGAGUUCGAGGUGUCGGGGGUAGUCGGGAAUGGGAUAAUAGUUAAAAUAUGACAAAAAGGUUCCUUAAGGCCAAGACCAAACGAUAAAUGAAGAACAAGUAAGAAAGCAAUAAGUGGUAAAGCGGCCUCGAGCCAGCGAGAACGGGCAAGUUUGAAAGAAGAAAGAGAGAGAAAGAUAUUAUUGCACUUGGUAGAAAAGUUGGAGCAACAUCAACCCUUUACAAGGUAGUGUCGGUUCUCUUUAUAUAGGAGGGGAACCCGGCAAUAGUACAUGGGCAUUAAUUGUAAUAUGGAGAUGUGACGGCUAGACGCGACGCUUUGGCGUGGGCUCUGGAUAGGCCGGCCCUGUCAGACUUAGUCCUGUUCCUAGGGAACUUCCCCUUCUGUUCUAGCCUCAUCCCUCGUAUUCUUUGAGUCGGGCCCCGACGAGCCCCGAGGGAGGAAACUUGGUCGUGGCUCCAUGUCCUAGGGGUCACGAGGCAUUCUUCCGAAGUGGCUUGAUAGCGAGAAAUCAAGUCCUCUGAUUUUUCCGCAUACAGAUAGUCUCCGCGUUUCCCAGAACAAAACGAUGGAAAAUGAUUCUGGCACCUGACUCCUCGAGCUUCUUACGGUGACGUCACACCAAUGAUGCAACUUGUGGCGCGAGCUUUUGUGGCAAUCAGGGUGCCCCACGGACUUGUGCAUUUGACAUCAUUUAAUGCGCUAACGAUUCCCGUUCUCCAAGGUGAGUGCACCGUCGUCGAUUUGGUUCUUCAAGAGUGUAGUAACUGCAUCCACCGUUCGAUCUUCCAAAGCCACGAUGACUAUGUCGUUACCCCUAUAAAUGGGGGUGCCUUGGCAUUGAUUUUUCUAUACCAGUAUCUUCGUUGGAUUAUUUUCCCAUUUCUUCUUAUCAUCUUCCACCAUCCUUUAAUAUCAUGUUUGGGUCUCAUGGCCCCAAAGCUAUUCGGCAGAGCUCCCGUAGGUUGUGUUCCGGCCUCUUGCCGGAGCUUCUCUUUGUUGAGCACGACCAUGCUGUCCUGCUGUUGGGGUCAUUGUUAUGUUUGUCGUUGCUGUUGUAGUUGGCCCGAGACGAUAACGGAUGGGGAGUCGGUCUUCCCCUUUUGUAGAAAGUUAUUCGGACUAUGCACUGCUGCUCACUCUCCUACCUGGGCCUGGUGUGGCACUUCAUCCCUUGGAUUUUUUUUUUCCCAAGGGAUAAAGUGGCACUACCGGUCGUUGAGGCUGGGGCCCGUCGAAUCUUUAACCUUUGGCUUUGGCGGGCCAUGUCUCUUUUCUCUACCUCCACUGCAUCCCGUCCUUUUCGUCUUCUUCAUCUUUUCCCCUAGCGAGGACCCCCCGGCUUCGGGCUGUCGACCCCUCCGAGUUGCAUGGAGAUAGUACGCUGACUUUUGGAACUUUCGAGAAUGGUAACCUGAGUGAAGGUCAGCUUUGGGCGCCUGGGGGUCUCUUUUGAACUUGAUGAAGAUAGCUUUUUAAAGCGUAGAGGAUAGACUUCUAUUGAGGGGUUGCCUGUACUCAGGCACUGCCUCGAGCCUUCCUGGAGCCUUCGUGACUGGAGCUACGUGUGCUUGUUUUUCCUUUUAGAAAAGGAAAACGUGAGAUCAGGCACUACCAUAAGUCAAGCGAUGGUUUUGAAGGCUUCCCGAAGCCUGAUUUCUUUUUUAGCGGAGGCCCUUGAGGUCGGACACUGUCUCGAGACUGGAGAUAAUACAGUUGACUCCUUGAGGCCUGGCCUCUUGUCGAUGUAAGCCACUGGGGUCGGGUAUCGCCCCAUCGAUCUGUAUCAAGGCCGUUAGCUUCCUAAGGCUCACUCCAGAUAGGUGAAUCGUCGUUGUUUCCCACAUAUAUGUGGGACGAUUUCGGCUUCUUCAAAAGACCUCACUAUUUUAGAUAGCUACCCUUCCGCCUUGGCAUAAGGUUCUUUAUUUCUUCAAGCGCAAAAAAUGUUGGCGCACGUCCUUGCUUUAGUCUAUCAAUCCUACCAUAGCCAUGGAAACUGCUUCGGGGCCGGGCCGGUAGGAAGUGUGGAGUGGCACUCCCGGCGCUCAGUAUCCGUGGGAGUUCGCUCUGAAGACCGUGUCUUUGAUAAAAGAGGAACAUCUGGAGAUGGCGAGGAGAUACUGCGGAUGGAGUGAGGGGAUAACGUUGUAGGUGCUUUCCCCGGAUGAGAGCAUUACGGACUCUGCUGAUAGAUUCUUGAGUGUAUACCUAUAUCUUUUCUCAUUUGGCCCUCUUGAUAGGGUCGUGCUUGAUUUUUGCUUGAAGUAUCGGGUUACUUUGGCGCAGAUACAUCUGUCGUUUUGGCGAGUGGUGCUGAUAAUGAGGUCCUUUGCGGAGAAGGCUAGGCUUGAUUUCACGCUUAGUCACCUCGUCAGGCUGUACCGGCCAUUUCAUCACCGAGGCCUGCUAACCCUGCGGUGCCGUUCUUCCAUGCCCUUUGUUGUCGAUGACGAAGAAGAUGGGGAUCGAGAGUGGGCCAGUUGGUUCAUCCGGGUCCGGACGGCUGACAUUAUCCCCGUGGAGCUUAUUCUAUUUCCGAAGGGAUGGAAUUACGCACGUGAGUGGAGUGUCUAGCACUUUCUCAGAUUUUGCUUAUAGCAAAAAAUUAGUUGAGUAAUUGUGCUUCUUCCUUUUUGCAGCAACUUCAUGGAUGUCGGGCAAAGUUCUCAAUCUGCCCGGCUGGGUCCGGUGGUUGGUGACCCAUUCAACCUGCGAUGAGCGUAGAUGGUGAGCUGUGUUCCGUAUCAUAUGGGGAGCGAGAUACCAAGGUAUGCGUGCACGCUUCAUUUGCCUUGGCCUUCGUAUAUUUGAUAUGACAUUUUCCCCUUUCUUUCGUACCGGAUUUGCCGUUGUAUGUACCGGGCGGUUCCUUGGGAUGAGGCAGUGCUCUUCCGAAGAGUGAAGGAGUCGUCGGCCUCUGAGCUGAGGGACGAUAGCGAUAAAUGAGAUUUGUGCCCGCAGUGUGGUGGAGAUUUUAAUGGGGCUCAACGGGUUCGUAUCUUCGAGGAGAGGGCAUCGCCUGAGCCUGCUGUUCCCGGAGUGUUUGAUUCCAGGAUGGUGGUUCCCCCGAGUGAAUAUGCUUUGCUCAAAGUUGGCUCUCCCGGGGCCGGAGGGGCAGGAGCAACAGGAGUGUGCUAUGCCUUCGAGGAAGUCCGCCGGCUUCACUUCGUGGUGAGUUUCGGCGCAGCCAUCCCGGUAUUUCGCAUCUUCCACUCUUUAUCGAGUUUUUCUUUUGCAAGUCUUUAAUAGGCUCAGGUCUGAACUGUUCCGUCAAGGGCCCAGGCUUUGGGAAGAUCUGGACGAGGGUGAGUCCUCUAAGCUCCUUAGCGAGGAGAAGGAGGUUGAGUUGAUGCAAUGGCAAUAUGAGGCGUACCGGAGCUCGAAUUACGAGAGCUACUUGAUGGAGCAUGUAACCUUUCGUAGUACGCACUUCGCUCCUUUUGACCCUUAAGGUUAACCCUUUUUCCUAUCUCAGCUACAGAAAAAGACGGAGGCCUUAGAAUACCUUAAGGGCGAAGCCGACCGUGUCAGGAAUGCUUGCGGUGAACUAAGGGCUCAGGUGCAAGCUGAAGCUUUAGAGGAGAAAAGCGCCUCGGCCAAGGUUCCCGCCUUCGAGGUCCAACUCCGUUUGGCUCGUGACAAUGCUUCAGUUUAAGUAGAUAUGAUCACGAAGCUCGAGACCGAUCUCUCAAAGGUCAGGGCUGAGAUAACUGAUGCUCGGGCUGAAGCGUCAUUGAGUCGAACCGGUGCUGAUCAGGAGAUGGAGAUUCAUGUGAAAGACGCUGCUGACGCCCAGUCUGAGUUGAAGUGGGCCCUUGAUUAUAAGAAGAGGAUCGAAGAAUAUGUUCGUUGUAGAUCACGCAGAGAGGUACUCGAGGAAGUCGGCACUAGGAGAUUCGUUCUCUCAGAGGAAUUAACUCGACCAAGGGUGGACGAGCGCGAUGCUCGGUUACUUCUUGCUAAUGUCACAGAGAGCAAAUCUAGGGCCGGCAGGCUGUAGCCUUCUGGAACGGAGUGUAGAUUCCGUCGUUUUUCAAUUUUGUAUUUGAUAUCUUCAGAACAUGUUUAUAGAUGGAGAGCACGCCUUUUGCGUAUAUAAAAUAAGAGAAAAACUUGAAGUUUUAUCUCCUUUAUAUCUCUUUCCGCAUUGCUUUUGACUAGGGGGGGCUGGUUUUGGUGUUUGGCGGGAGCCUCUUGGGUCCGGAGCUAAUUAGGUAGGCCCAGAGGCUUUUAAGUGUGACCUUUGUUGUGUUGGGGCCUCUGUGCUUUGCCCAGCAAUUUUAGGCUUAGUCUCCGAGCUCGGCCUUGACUCGAGCUUACCAGACCUCCAAUCUCUUGUGUCUGCAUAAGCGGAUGAUAAUUGUUUUUAUUUCUCGCCCUUGGGCGUUUGUUGUUUUAACUAUUUGGGUUCAUUUUCCGAGUUGCAUUGCGACUUUUGCUUUAAUUGACCCUCAAGUAUUCCGAUUUUCAAGCUGGCAACAAUGGCUCUUUACGCUGUUUGGUGGUUGAGACCUUUUGAUAUGUGGCCCGGAGGCUUGCAUAGUUAACUAUUUUGGAUCCGGUCUCCGAAUCGGGUUACGACCCGAGCUCAUUUUAAUCCUCAAGUUGUCAAUUUUAAGCUAGCGACAAUGGCACUUACGUUGUUUGGUUGUUGAGACCUUUUGAUAUGUGGCCCGGAGGCUUGUUUGGCUGGCGAUAAUGGCUCUUACACUUUUUGCCCGUGGGCAUUUUGUAGGCUUUGUUGUCCUCUCGUUAAGGUCUUUUUGAAAUGAUUUUGCCGGACCCGUCGUCAGUUCUUGAAGAACCUCGAUUUCAAGUUGUUAUCGGCAAUGUUUGAGCACCUCAGAAGGUUCUUAGCUCGUAGACUGAGUAGGUCUAAGCCUUGCGAUUUGGAGCUGACGUGGUCGAAGCUCGUUUGCCUGUUGAGGGAAGCAUGUUUUAACCGGUUCUUUCCGAAGUAUAUUCGGAGUAGUGGCCUGCGAUUUUGUUUAGCGACGGUCGGGCGUCCCCGAGUCGCGUUAAUUUGUCCGGAUCAGUCGUUUUGACCGUAGUCAUAUAUGUUUGGCCGGAGCCAUUUCUGAUCCCAAGUGAUAGUUUAGGCGUCUACACCGAGGGUAUGCCCUUUUGGUAUUCAUACAAAUGCGACGUAUAGCCUAAACUUCGGGAUUUUGAGUUUUAUGCUGUAGUAAGGUCUUAUAAGAUUUUCCAUUCCUGUUGAGGUCUUACAGUUUUGUCAUGCCUGUUGAGGUCUUACAGUUUGUGUUGCUAUGUAGAAUAGAUCUGGUUAUAUCGAGUCUGUCCGCUUGGGGUCUUACGACAUCGGGCUUUCCAGUGUAAGGCGAUUGGCGACAGUCUCCAAGUCAUCGAGUUUGCUUAGGCUCGAAGGUCGUUACUCGUGAGCUCGGGGUUACCUUGUUGGGGCUUUAUGAGCCCGGAAUUCCGAUCCUGGGGUCGUGCAGGUGCCAAAUUGUCGACGCUAAGUCUCCGAGUAUUUCGGGACGCAUUCGGUGGAGGAAUCUGUUACGUCCCGCAAAAUUACGUCAAUAUCACGUCCUGCAAUAUUAUAUUACGACGAUGUUGCACCCUGAAGUAUUGCACGUUAAAAUCUCAUUUUCAGUUAACCGAUGUAAGACUCGAGGAUGAGAUCAUCUUGACGUUAACGUACUUACGCUAUUUAUAGUAAGCAAUAAAUAAGUGUUAUGAAGAAUAAGAGGGUACACGGAUUAAAGAAAACGAGUUUCAUUAAAAGUGGUCAAUUUGAAAUAAAAUAUGGGUCGAACGAUAAUACCCGAUAAUUUACCAUGUAAGGUACCAUAUGACCACGGUAGUAUAAUAUAUAAAGUAUAUAUGAAGUAUUUUAAGAAUAAAUAGAAUUUUAAGAAAUUUGUGAUAAUUUUAAAAUUAUGCGGGUAAUUGAUUAAUUACCGGGUAAGCGAACAUUACCCAAUUAACUAAUAAGUAGAAGAUAAAAUCCCUUCUCCCAAGAAAAACGUGGCAGAAAGGCCACUGCUUAAGCAUGAGUCAUAGUAAUUUGUAUAUAGGUGGCAGUAACAUAAGCCAACUCUUAUCAAAAUUAGACUUAAUGUCAUUUUAGUCUUGGGGUUCAAAAAGACAUUUUGUCUUUGACAUCCAUUAUUAAAAGUCAUUUUGGUCUUUUGGGUUCAAAUAAAAACGCUAAAGCUAGCUUCAGUCUGAGAAUAAUUCAUCCAUCAAUUCAAUUUUAGCCAACAUUUUAAUUUCAAAGAGCUAUAAAUUCUGUUUCUGAAAUUCGAGAGCUUCGAAGCAGAAUUUUGUCCAUAUUUUGCAAAAGCAGAUUCGUUCAAAUAAUUCCGGGAACAAGUAUGUUAAGGCCCUCCCUUUUUUCUUUUGAUAUGAUCCAAAUUAUACUGAAGAAACGAGCAAACACAGUUUCAAUAAAUUACUCCAUUCAUAGAAAUAGUAGGAGUAUCUGUAUUCUUGAUUUCCCGUGAAAAAUAUUAUUAUCUUAUGUUCUUGGGUCUCAAAAAAUACAUAUUUGAUAAAGUUUAUUGGAAAAACAUUUCUGCUGUAUGUGUAUGUAAAGUGUAUUGGAUAAAGUUCUUUUUAAUCACUCAUUAUGAUAUCAACGAUGGAAAUAAGCUCCUUGAUCACUGUAUUAGCGCUAUAUCCAUGCAGUAGGCUUUCCAUGGUAAAUUGGUAAUAUAUUACUUAUAAGAUAAUUCUAUAGAGCAUGUAAUGCAGAGACUAAAAGAAUUAGUUUUGCCUUGACAACAACAAACUAAUGCUUAAAUCAUGCAAGUGAUCGUUUCUAUUUGGAAUUAUUCAAAAGUAAGUUUCAUGUUUUUGUUUUCUUUUCUUCCAAUUUGAAAGAAAUAGUACAUACACGCUAAUUGAAAUAACUACAUAGCUCCUCGUUUUAUAUGUUGAAUUAAAAUGUAUAAUAAGAAUACAUGUACAUUAGCUAUACGAUGAUAUAAAAGUACCUGAAGACAAAAAAUGACCUUUAAAAUAAGAAAUUGGUAUAUUUCAUAAUUUCAUGCAUCUAUACAUGUAUAUUGACCCAUCACCAGACGGUGUUAUAUAUGCGUAUAUAUGUAAAUAUAUGUAUAUGGGAUAUGGGAAAAGGCGGCGUUAUAUACGGACCACCACCUGAUCAGCUGGUAUAUGAUGAUGAUGUUGCCCACAGUGGCACAAAUAUGAUUCAAACGGCGUUAUAUACGCGUUUAUAUGUAUGUAUGUAUGUAUGUAUGUGUAUAUAUAUACAUAUGUAUGUAUGUAUGUNNNNNNNNNNNNNNNAAACAUGUACCUAUGCACGACAUGACAUUCAUACGCAUAUGCAAGACGCUAAGAGUAAUUUAUGAUUUACAAAGUUAUUCGGACUUACAGGUUGAGUCAUGUACUCUAUAUUUCUUUCAUGUCUCUUAUGUACUUAUUUAUGUGCCUUACAACUCGGUACAUUAUUCGUACUGACGUCCCUUUUGCCUGAGUACGCUGCGUUUCAUGCUCGCAGGUCCCGAUAGACAGAUCGAGAGCCCUCCAAGUAGGCUAUCAGCUCAGCGGAAGACGUUGGUGCACUCCAUUUGCUUCGGAGUUGUUUGUUUGAUCAGUAUGAUUUAGACAUAUAUUUUUUGGUAUGGCGGGACUCUGUCUCGACCUUUAUGAUAUUUAUGUAUUCUUAGAGGCUUGUAGACAUAUGUCGUGUAUGUGAAAGAUUGUACGGCCUUGUCGGCCUAUGUUUUGAGUUUAUAAACGAUUAUGUUGGCCUUUUGGGCCCGUAUAUCACGUGUAUAUGAUGAUGUAAUAAGAAAGAUAUGUUACAUUGGUACUCGGUUGAGUAAGGUACCGGGUGCCCGUCACGGCUCAUCGGUUUGGAUCAUGAUAAAAGUGGUAUCAGAGCAGUUCUGUCCUAGGAAUGUCUACAAGCAGUGUCGAGUAGAGUCUUGUUUAUGGGUGUGUCGUGCACCACACGUAUAAGCAGGAGGCUACAGGGCAUUUAAGACUCUCACUCUUUCUUUUUACUUUAGAUCGUGUAGUAGAGCUCACUUAUAAGAAUUCAAGUCCCGAACUUCUAUUUUUUUUCGAACGACGCCUACGUUCAGGAAGAUGAUCGAUAAGAGAUAUAGCUGUAGAAGUGUUGAAUUAGAGGAAUUCGACUUUGUAUCAUGCUUAUGAUAAGUAAAUGUGAGGUCUUCAACAAAUCAUGUGCGUACUGAAAGCUGUAAGCCUCUUGAUAAGAAGCCUUAAGGCAAGAAUGCCUAUCCACUUUUAUGGUGAAAGACAAUGAGAGAUUAAGAAGAUAAAUAUAAGUUUCAACAAGCAAAAGAAGCAAGAUAAAGAAGGGUAUGAAGCGCCCAGUUAACGAAGGUUAACAAUGUUUAUAAUUCAAGCAGAGGAACAUAAGCUUUUUUGAGUUAUAUUCAAUAGUAACAGAGGUAUAUACAAUUGGUCGCACCCAUUCCAGAUAUGCCCUAUGGGGGUUAAGACAAGUAGUAUAAGAAGAUAUAAUGGACGAAUUGUUUGCGUCAGUUGAUAUUUCUGAAGGAUAUUGCAUGCUAAUAGAUACGAUGGUGUACUCUAAAAUUGUACAGCUAGAUAUAAGUACUACAAAGAUAGGCACUGGAAGCCUUGAAGGGAUAAAUAUUAUCUUAGUAUGGCUCUCAUCCCUAGUAGAGGAAAAAAAAAUGUUAGGCAAUUCGAAAAGCCAAUGGAUGAAGCAAGGGGAGGUAAAAGCAAAGGAAUGUCUUGUUUGAAUUUUUCGAAUACAGUGACAAACAUAGAUGUUAGCAGAAAAUAAGAAAAGAGUUAGUGAAGCAUUAUAAGUAAUAUGUGAUACCUGGAUGACAAUGGUAGAAAAAAAGAAAGAUGAAAAUGAUGACAGUAUUAUAGAGUCUAUAGUCAAGUGAAGGAAAAGACGAAAGGUGACAGGCCUUGAGACAAUAAAAGAGUAUAGGCCAUAGAGUCAUAUCCUCAUUUCAAGAAAUAAGUUCGCGACUCUAACAUGAUUAUCAGAAGCAAAAGUUAGACCCCAAAGUAAUAGGAAAUCAGUAUGGGCUAGUGAACAAGGUAAACUAAAUAUGAAUUGGGGACUCAGUGAUUUGAUAAUAGUCGGCAUCAUGAGAAUUUCAGAUUGCGUUCUGGCAAUAAAAGAAUGGACGACAGAAGAAUAACCCUUUAAGGUCAUUCAGAAAGACGCUUUCCUAAAGCAAGCAAUGUAAGUAAAGUUAAGUUUAAGGGACUAAGUGUGCCAGUUACACUAAGUGUCACAUUGCGAGUGAGGAAUUUUGUUAUUCUUGGUACAGAAGGAUUACUGCAAGGCAAGUAAGGGUCAUUGAUAAUGUGAAAAGAUGAAAAGGAAAAACAUCUGUAGGUAGGUUGUCAUAGCUCCAAGUCUUAGUACUCCCUUAAAAGGGGGAAAUAUGGAUUAAUAAAUGAAGAAUGCGGUAAAACGAAUGAGGAAUGAGAUUACACUUAUUCAGCUCCUACGUAUAUGCUACAAUUCCAGAACAUUAUGCAAACACGGCGCCAAUGAGAGGAAGUAAGGGUCCCUGCCCGAGAUGUUAUUGAUAGAAAAUGAAUCAGUGCGAGACAUAAGUUAAGACAAAGGAAAUAACCCAAGAAAGAUUUCGCAUGAGAAUGGGCCAACGAAUAGUUAGCAGUUGAUUCAGGAAGAGCCUAGUCAUGACUAGACAAGAAGUUACAGACAAAUCAGCAGAUCAUUCAAGAUAAAUGUAGUAAACCCCAACAUAGAGAAUUCAGCCCCGCAGUUAUGACUUAUAAUACUUGAGAUAUAUUCAUAUAGGAGUUGGAGAAGUUAAAAAGGUACUGUAUGAGUGUUACGGAAAUAAAAGAGAGUGCCACUAGGAAGACAGUCAAAUAUCAGUCCAGAAGCAACCCCAUAAGCACAAAGGCAUGGAGAUAAGUAACUACAGAUAAGUAUAGGCAAGGAAGGAUAGUAGAAGGUCCGUCAAGUAUACGAUACAAUAAGAUCGCAUCUUUACAAGAGUCAGAGGAUCCUCCGUAAGCACUACAAUGAAGGUCUAGAUUAGGAAAUGAGGAAGAAGGCUUCAACCUAAGCACAAUAACCUAAUGAAGAAAAGGUCAUGUAAAAGCAGUCUCACAACAAAAAUUGUUUGCCCUCCAAAAGAAAGUGACACCUACCGUGGCUAAUGAACGGGGAGAAAGAUCGAAGGUAAUAUUUGAGACUAUAUAAGUUGCAUAAAAAUUCUGGCAUGUGUGGGAACUAGGAUGAGUUAAGUAUGCACGCAACAAGGGGCAGAAAGACCAGAAAAAGUAAUUGCAUACGUUUUAAGAGAGCUGAGAUGGAACGAAAGGAAUUAUUCUAUCGAUGAUCCAGAAUUAGUACGUUAUGGACACACUCAAGAUUUUGGAGCAUUAUAUUUGUUGGCAGUCAUACAGCCAUAGGAGACUCCGGUAUAAGUUUAAAAAAAAGAAGAAUUGACCCCAGGGCAUAGACAAAUGAUGGAAUUGUUAGAAGAUUGUAUCAUGGAUAUUCCAUAACGCCCAUGAAAGGCUAAGUUAAUAACUGAUACCAUGAGCCACGGGUCGGAAGAUAGCUUAAGCCUACGUAAAGGCUGAUCAGAAGGAAGAGGAAACUAAAGAAAUCACAUCACCCAAGUAAAUCAGAAGUCUAAUUAUUGGACCUACAAAAAUUUAGAAGUUGCGCUUGAGAACAUGAUAGAAUCACUCUUAAUAUUAAAUGUUCAAGAGAAAUAACACAACAACCAUAAUAUAUACUGGCUCUAUAAGAAAGUUUGUUAAAGAAGUACCAGCCUCAUAGGAAGUCAGUAUGAAGCUACCAUCGGAUUAUGUAUAUAGCAGAGGUGCGAGUAUUAUAAUAGAACUCUAAGUUAUGGAUGUGAAUUACACCUAGGUGGAAGGGAGGUCAUGAAAUGGAUAGAAGAUACGAUGCAAAAGUUUAAAGUAAGUAAGGUAAAGGUGAACAUCAUACGAGAUACUCAAAGGCAGAAUAUGUGAAUAGUCCAUACUUCAGAUAAAAGGCUAGAAGUGCUAGGAUUUAAUAUCCAGGAGUGAUAGCGGCAUAGUUAGUGGCAUAUCUCAUAGCCUAUGGUUUCUAGGUAUCGAGGAGGCUAAUUAAGACAGUAAAGAAGAGUUAGAGACGAUGUGAUGUCUUGCUUGAUGUCCCAGAAUGACAUAAGGAAAUCUAUGAUGCAAGCAAGUUGGAAGGUUGCAAGUAAUAUAAAUAGAGUUGUGUAGGUCGCAAGCCGUUGUAUGGUGAAGUGGCAAGGUUCUAGAAGACAAGAGUAAGGAUAAGAGAGGGCGAGUGAGAAGGUAACGAAAAUGGAUAAGUCCUCAGGAUUAAGCCCAUGAAAAACAAGAAAAGCAGAUGGCUUCUCUAAAUUAUACAAAAUAUCGAGCAAAAGACUUCAAUAUACCUAUAGAGGCCAAGAGAGACAUCCUAUUAAGCCUUGUAUAUAUAAAGUAGGACCUAGAUAUUGACUAAAAGAUAAAAGGAAAAAAGGAAAGAUGAAUCGCAUAAGUGCACUUACAAAGCCAGGGUCAUACAUGCUACAUGACAAGAGGUAACAGCAGUUGCAAGAUUAGGAAGAUUUCGACUACAGGUCAUGAUACGGGCAAAAACACUAAAGGGGGGAAUACCCUAGACUUUGGAUUUAUUCACAAAGCAACUGCUUAAAUAGAAAAGAGUAUUAAGGUAUUCACAAGAGCUAUAAGUUAUGAAAAUGAUAAGAGCAUCAGUCAACAUUCGAGGACGAAUGUUCCAAAGGAGGGAAUGAUGUUACGCCCCGCAAAAUUACGUCAAUAUCACGUCCUGCAGUAUUAUAUUACGACGAUGUUGCACCCUGAAGUAUUGCACGUUAAAAUUUCAUUUUCAGUUAACCGAUGUAAGACUCGAGGAUGAAAUCAUCUUGUCGUUAACGUACUUACGCUAUUUAUAGUAAGCAAUAAAUAAGUGUUAUGAAGAAUAAGAGGGUACACGGAUUAAAGAAAACGAGUUUCGUUAAAAGUGGUCAAUUUGGAAUAAAAUAUGGGUCGAGCGAUAAUACCGGAUAAUUAUGAACUAAUACCAUAUAAGGUACCAUAUGACCAUUGUAGUAUAAUAUAUAAAGUAUAUAUGAAGUAUUUUAAGAAUAAAUAGAAUUUUAAGUAAUUUGUGAUAAUUUUUAAAUUAUGCGGGUAAUUAAUUAAUUACCGGGUAACCGAACAUUACCUGGUUAACUAAUAAGUGGAAGAUAAAAUCCUCUCUCCCAAGAAAAACGUGGCAGAAAGGCCACUACUUAAGCAUGAGUCAUAUUAAUUUGUAUAUAGGCGGCAGUAACAUAAGCCAACUUCCAAUCGCAAGGUUGUGAGUUCGAGUCUCUCCAAGAGUAAGGUGGGAAGUUCUUGGAGGGAAGGAUGCCGAGGGUCUAUUUGGAAACAGUCUCCUUACCCCAGGGUAGGGGUAAGAUCUGCGUACACACUACCCUCCUCAGACCCCACUAAGUAGGAUUAUACUGGAUUGUUGUUGUUGUUGUUGUUGUUGUAGUAACAUAAGCCAACUCUUAUCAAAAUUGGACUUGAUGUCAUUUUAGUCUUGGGGUUCAAAAAGACAUUUUGUCUUUGACAUCCAUUAUUAAAAGUCAUUUUGGUCUUUUGGGUUCAAAUAGAAAACGCUAAAGCUAGCUUCAGUUAGAGAAUAAUUCAUCCAUCAAUUCAAUUUUAGCCGACAUUUUAAUUUCAAAGAGCUAUAAAUUCUGUUUCUGAAAUUCGAGAGCUUCGAAGCAGAAUUUCGUCCAUAUUUCACAAAAGAAGAUUCGUUCAACUAAUUCCGGGAACAGAUAUGUUAAGGCAUUUCCUUCUUUUUUUUGGCAUGGUCCAAAUUAUACUGAAGAAACGAGCAAACACAUAGUUCCAAUAAAUUAUUCCAUUCAUAGAAAUAGUAGGUUGUCUAUAUUCUUGAUUCCCCGUAGAAAAUAUUAUUAUCUUCUGUUCUUGGAUCUCAAAAAAUACGUAUUUGAUAAAGUUUAUUCGAAAAGCAUUUCUGCUGUAUGUGUAUGUAAAGUGUAUUGGAUAAAGUUCUUUUUAAUCACCCAUUAUGAUAUCAACGAUGGAAAUAAGCUCCUUGAUCACUGUAUUAGCGCUAUAUCCAUGCAGUAGGCUUUCCAUGGUAAAUUGUUAAUAUAUUACUUAUAAGAUAAUUCUAUAGAGCAUGUAAUGCAGAGACUAAAAGAAUUAGUUUUGCCUUGACAACAACAAAUUAAUGCUUAAAUCAUGCAAGUGAUCUUUUCUAUUUGGAAUUAUUCAAAAGUAAGUUUCAUGUUUUUGUUUUCUUUUCUUCCAAUUUGAAAGAAAUAGUACAUACACGCUAAUUGAAAUAACUACAUAGCUCCUCGUUUUAUAUGUUGAAUUAAAGUGUAUAAUAAGAAUACAUGUACAUUAGCUAUACGAUGAUAUAAAAGUACCUGAAGACAAAAAUGACCUUUAAAAUAAGAAAUUGGUAUAUUUCCUAAUUUCAUGCAUUUAUACGUGUAUAUUGACCCAUGACCAGACGGUGUUAUACGCGUAUAUAUGUAAAUAUAUGUAUAUGGGAUAUGGGAAAAAGCGGUGUUAUAUACGCACUACCACCUGAUCAACUGGUAUAUGAUGAUGAUGUUUGCCCACAGUGGCUCAAAUAUGAUUCAAACGGCGUUAUAUACGCGUACAUAUGUAUAUAUAUAUAUACAUAUGUAUAUGUAUAUGUAUAUGUAUAUGGGAUAUGGGAAAGGUUAUGGUGUUAUAUACGUAUCACCACCUGAUCAGCUGGUAUAUGAUGAUGAUAUUGCUCACAAUGGCUAAAAUAUGAUUCAAACAGUGUUAUAUACGUGUAUAUAUGUAUGUAUAUAUAUAUGUAUAUGGGAUAUGGGAAAGGUUAUGGCGUUAUAUAUGCACCACUACCUGAUCAGCUGGGAUACGAUGAUGAUUUUGCCCAUUGUGGCCGAUAUGAUAUGAUGGGAUGCCCUCAGAGGCUGAUGAUGUUAUGAAACAUGUACCUAUGAACGACAUGACAUUCAUACGCAUAUGCAUGACGCUAAAAGUAAUUUAUAAUUUACAAAGUUAUUCGAACUUACAGGUUGAGUCAUGUACUCUAUAUUUCUUUCAUGUCUCUUAUGUACUUAUUUAUGUGCCUUACAUACUCGGUAUAUUAUUCGUACUGACGCCCCUUUUGCCUGAGUACGCUGUGUUUCAUGCUCGCAGGUCCCGAUAGACAAGUCGAGAGCCCUCCAAGUAGGCUAUCAGCUCAGCGGAAGACAUUGGUGCGCUUCAUUUGCUUCGGAGUUGUUUGUUUGAUCAGUAUGAUUUAGACAUAUAUUUUUUGGUAUGGCGGGACUCUGUCUCGACCUUUAUGAUAUUUAUGUAUUCUUAGAGGCUUGUAGACAUAUGUCGUGUAUGUGAAAGAUUGUACGGCCUUGUCGGCCUAUGUUUUGAGUUUAUAAACGAUUAUGUUGGCCUUUUGGGCCCGUAUAUCACGUGUAUAUGAUGAUGUAAUAAGAAAGAUAUGUUACAUUGGUACUCGGUUGAGUAAGGUACCGGGUGCCCGUCGCGGCCCAUCGGUUUGGAUCAUGACAGGAUCCCUGCCGAGAGUGUACUGAAAUUUCCUCUUUCGGAGUAUGAGAUGCCGAAAGAUAUUCUUUUAUUUCUUGGUGUAAAUACAUAUCGUUUCGUUGUGGUGAGCUCGGCCUGCGCGGGCACGGCCCCUUGGACCGUUUGAUCUGGUACAUGAUUCCCUAUUGAAACUCGGGUUGUCAUUCCCCGGCCCUUCUAAGCGAGCGACGCUUUCAUAGAGGGGGGGUGUCCUCCAAUGUUUGAUUGCAGAAGGAAGGCUUGCAAUAUUGCCGGGUCCUCUUCAAGGGGUACGCUGAUCCGCUAAGAACCUCGCUGGCGAGUCCCUCUAUGGGGCGUAAGUCUGGCCGAGGGGAAAGAGUGCGACGGGUCCUAUUAAGGCCUUGGAGUCCUCGGGUAGAGAUAGCACUUCCGAACGCCCUGGCCGGAUGUCUGCAUGCAGGUUAGUAAAAAAACGACGAAGGAAGGAGGUAAUUUUUCUUUACCGCGGGGUUUGUAGGCGAUGUUUCGGGGUUUGAUAGGUUCCUGCUAUUUCGGAGUGUGGAUUCUAGUACGGCCCUCCACUGUGUUUAAUCGGACUUGGCCGAAGAUGUGGUUCACUUACCCUUUGAUCCUUUCGAGAAUAGAAGUAUUGAUGCCGACGAUGCAUCAUAUGAUGAGGAAUUUCCUCUUGCCGCGUAUUGCUUCCCGCUCACGGUUUUAAUUCCAUCCCUUGCAUGGAAUUUCAUCCUUCGGGCGAAGUGGGGGCGGCAUUGUCUUCGUGCGGUAUGCCCGUGGCCAUCUGAAUAAAACGUUUGUACCUUGCGCCUCCUUUAACGGUAUGGGACUCGGAGUUCCCGUAUGAGCCAGCCGUGUUGUAUCCAGAGAAUGGUCUUUCUCCUUGCUGUUGCGAUCGACGUCUAGAACCUGUUAAAGAUUCGAGAGGUGGUCGUGCUUUGGCUCGGCAGUUCGGGCCGCCCUAUUUACCUCGGCCCGACAACGUUGAUGUGUUGAUCGAACUACCUGAAUUCAUGAGCACUCGUUUUAUUUGAAAUAGAUUAGAUGAGGGAGAAGGUUGCCAAUGCGUCAGUGUGAGGUCGAAGCGAAGUUUCAGUGUCUUUUUUGCUGGAUGUAAGGGCGUCCUCCGGAAUGUAUCCACGGAGCCAUCUUUUCCUAGUAACGAGCAUUCUUAUUUCCACUUUAUAAGUCCGUCGAGGGUGUCGCCUCUCCUCCACUAUCAUGGCAAUACGUCACGGCUCAUUUGCUUCGUUCUUCCUGGUCCCUUUCUCCCUCAGGGCUGAAUUCGAGCCUGAUCGCUCAAUAGUACUCGGUGGUGAUUUUUAUUAAAUAGCACAAUUGUUUUCCUUUUGAGCUGGUGGCCAUUUUCGACCUCGUGUUCAUGCACGCCAUGUGGUUCCCGCGCCAGGUUGUGGUUCCUUUGAGGGGGAUUCGGUCAAAUAGGUUUGAGCUGUUUGGCGUCCCUAGUUUUGCUUAUGGUGAACGCGAACUUCGAUAUAACAAUGCUGAAAUCGUACUCUGAUGGGCGAUGUGCCCCUGUCGUCCAUGCCUCGUCGAAUCUGGCUUUGUUGAAGAUUCCUCGAGGAUGUUUCCCUCGGGCCAUUUCCCAAUCGUUGCGAGGUAGAUUGUGUCUCGAAGCGUUCCUCCUAUCUGCGGCGAACGGGCGGUAACUCUCUCUGUUUGGCAUUAGUUUUUUUGCAGGGAACCUGCUUGGGUACAUCGAGCCCGAGGAGGCUCCUGGAUGGUCGUCCACGACCCUGAUUCGCAACUGGUGUUGGGUACGGGCAUCUGACCAGAUCUUGGCUGGGUACUCAACCAAGUUUCGUUUGAACUUCCCUGAAAUCGUUGGGCUUGGUUUGUUUAGGCUUUAGGCGAAGGCUUGUGCUCUCCAGUCAUUCGAUACUGGGGGCAAUCUCGUUCGUUCUAUCAGGGAAUAAGGUGCGAAUUCCCGUGGUGUUUCACUCUCCCUUUGUUCGGCCCUAGAUGUGUCGGGCUCUCUUGUCACUGCUUCGAUGGCAUCGGCGUGUGUUUUUAUAGAGGAAUCUGCUAGUGUGAUAAGCGAGUUUGCGAGAUCGAGUGCUGGGUCACGACGCCACAUCAUAGUUCCCUUUGAGAGUUUUUCCCCGAACAUAUUCAAUAAGACGGGCUCGAACUCAUCACCUUGAAGGUCGUUGCCUUUUCUCACGCAUGUGUAAGCAGAGAUGUGCUUGUCGGGAUCUGAUGUCCUGUUGUACUUAGGGAGUUCUAACAUUCUGGACUUCCGUGAAACGGGUUCCGGGACCGCUUCCUCUAGGAACGACUAUUGCAUGAACUUCCACGAACCUGACUCGAUCCUUUUGGAGAGAUCCCCGAGCAUUUUUUCUAUGGCAGGGUUGGUUACCGAUCUAUUGUUGCUUGAUCUCUCGGAUAUUUGUUUGGCGGGAGGAGCUAUUUCCGGCGCUACUGUGCUGGGAGUCUCCGGGUGGCUUUGCAACUAAAUUAUAGCCAACUGUUGUGCCUACAACAUUUCAAAAAUAUCGUGAAGACUCACUUCAUGUGCUUCUCGAGCUGGGGUUUUCUGGCUUCUUGUCGGUCGAUAUGUUGUAUGCUCUCGUCGGUGUGCGAGGUUUCGUCGACUUGCUGCAUGUCUUGCGAACCCGCGUCUGCUGGAAUCGGCCCAGAUGCAUUAUCGGGGUUUUGCGGCGUCGUACCAACGAUUGGAGAAGCCACACCAUUUUCGCCGUGAUUUUCGAGGUAGUUGUUCUCAACCCUGUUUGUCGAGCCAGACAUUUUGACCUAAAAUCAAGAGAUCUUGGAAGAGAAAAAGUGUGAAAAAUAACUUGCGUUUGAGCAAUGAACCAACAAGAAAAUAAUCACUACUAUUUUUAGCCCCACGGUGGGCACCAAACUGUUUACUGUGAAAAUGGUAACAACAAUUAAAUUUGUAAAUGAGAUUCUAAAAAUAUGUUAUAUAUUUUUAUGCUAGUUGUUAGAGCAGAUGAUGCUAGGAAUAUGAAGUUUAACGAUGAAAUGCAAUCUAAAAUGAGGCAAUAAUCAAACCGAGGGGCUUACUGCCCUAACUUCGAACUGGUCGAUGGAGGACCUCGGGGUCGAUAUUGGGCUCGAGUUCGAGGUGUCGGGGGUAGUCGGAAAUUGGAUAACAGUUAAGAUAUGAUCAAACAAGGCUCCUUAGGGCCAAGACCAACCGAUAAAUGAAGAACAAGUAAGAAAGAAAUAAGUGUUAAAGCGGCCUCGAGCCAGUGAGAACGAACAAGUUAGAAAGAAGAAAGAGAGAGAGAGAUAUUAUUGCACUUGAGUAGAAAAAGUUGGAGCAACAUCAGCCCUUUACAAGGUAGUGUGGGUUCCCUUUAUAUAGGAGGGGAACCCAGCUAUAGUACAUGGGCAUUAAUUGUAAAGUAUGGAGAUGUGAUGGCUAGACGCGAUGCUUCGACGUAGGCUCUAGAUACGUCGGUCCUGUCAGACUUAGUCGUGUGCCUAGGGAACUUCCCCUUCUGUUCUAGCCUCGUCCCUCGUCUUCUUUGAGUCGGGCCCCGACGAGCCCCGAGGGAGGGAACUCGGUCGUGGCUCCACGUCCUCGGGGUCUCGAGACAUUCUUCCGAAGUGGCUUGAUAGCAAGAAAUCAAGUCCUCUGAUUUCGCCGCAUACACUUUCUACAACAACCUUAUUUGUUCUGGAUAUUUUUGGAUGUUAUAGCGAAUUGUUGUUAUAGAAAAUAUAUAUUAUAAUAGAACAUGAGAUUUGGUUCCAAAAAAAUUUGACUUUUAUAGAGAAUAGUUGUUAUAUAAAGAUAUUGUUAUAGAGAAGUUUGACUGUAUGACAAAAACAUGCCAACUUCAAGUCACGAAUAAAUAUAGUUAACUUCAUACUAAACUAGCACUGUUAGAGUUUACAGUCGCUCUCAGCCUCGUCUUGAAAUAAAACAUGGAAGGUUAGAAAUUAGAAUUAUGGUGGAAGUUAAAGUUAAUUUUUAAAAUAUUCGUCAAUUUAAAUCAUGUUCAUAUUUGUACAGCUCAAACGGUAUUUUUUAAAAUUUAGAGGAAGUACGUUAGGACAACAUUGUAAAAAUUGCACGGGGCGCCCUAUUUGGUCGUCCCCAUUUAACCUAUACCCUUUUUUUAAAGUUUUAACUUGUACCCACUUUUUAAACAACUUCAGUCCCCUUUCUCCUCCUUCUCCUCCUUCGUUUUCUUCUUCUUCUUUCUUCUGCUGCUAUUGGUGCUGCUAUGAAACUUCAGUUCAUGGGAUGAUUGCCAUAAAUAUGUUUAUCAUAUUAUUUAAAAAUAAAUUAUAAAUAAUUAUGUGUGUUAGUAGACAAUAAUUUGUGAAUAUUUCUACGUACGUAAGUUAGUAAACAAUGAUAAUUCUGUUCUUUUCACGUUUAUUGUUUCCAAAAUAUAUGAUUUAGAUACUGUUGGCAAUCUAAUUAUUUAUCUAGUAUGUUAGAAAGCUUUUUCAAAAACUUCAGCUUAUAUAGUGUUGAAGUUUUUACAAAUAAACUAAAUAACUUCAACACCUUCUGCUGAAGUUUUUGAAAAAAAGGCGUUUUGUAUAAAANNNNNNNNNNNNNNNNNNNNNNNNNUAUUGUUUCCAAAAUAUAUGAUUUAGAUACUGUUGGCAAUCUAAUUAUUUAUCUAGUAUGUUAGAAAGCUUUUUCAAAAACUUCAGCUUAUAUAGUGUUGAAGUUUUUACAAAUAAACUAAAUAACUUCAACACCUUCUGCUGAAGUUUUUGAAAAAAAGCGUUUUGAUAAAACUAAUGAAUCCAGGACAAAAAAAACAUCAGCUUUUAGUGCUGAAGCUUUUAAAAAUGAACUAAAUAACUUCAGCAUCUUCUGCUAAAGUUUUUGAAAAAGUUUAUUCAGGACAAAAAAAACUUCAGCUUAUUUAGUGCUGAAGUUUUUAAAAAUGAACUAAAUAACUUCAGCAUCUUCUGUUGAAGUGUUUGAAAAAGCUUAAUAACAAAACUAAUGAAUCUAGGACAAAAAAAUUUCAGCUUAUUUAGUGCAAUUACAAACAAAAAUUUCAGCAAAUAGAGAAUAAAACUUCAGCUACUAUGCUUAAGUUCAGCAAUUACAAAUAAUAACUUCAGCAAAUAGAGAACAAAACUUCAGCUACUAUGCUUAAGUUCAACAAUUACAAACAAAAACUUCAGUACACUUGGUUCAGCACAGCCCGUCUACUAGAAUGCUAAAGUUUUGCGAGAUUGUGUCACAACCCAAACCCCGACCCGGUCGUGAUGACGUCUCUCGUGAAGACAAGGCCAUCCAACUAAACCCAAUUCACUUUUCCUAUAAAACAGUUAAACAAUGCAUAAGCAGUCUAUACAGAGUUUAAUGAUAAUAAUUAGCGGAAGUACAACCCGACACAGCCCUAAUCGGGGUAUCACAAGUCACGAGCAUCUACUAGGGUCUAACUACAGCUGACAAGUCUGAAUGUACUGACUACAAAUAAAUGAAAUAAAGAGGGAGAAAAAGCGGUGCUGCGGACGCCGACAGCAACCUUGCUAAACUCCGAUGACUCUGCCUAUGAUCCACCAAUACCCGCUAUCGGGUUCAGAAAUACCUGAAUCUGCACACAGGGUGUAGGGAGUAAAGUGAGUACUCCAACUUAGUGAGUAACAAAUGUAAAUAAAGAUUGAAGGAAAGAAAUCAUUUAAAGUCAAUCAAGAUGAUGUAUAGAAGCAGUUCAAAAACCAGUGAGAAAGCAGUGAAGCUGUAAAAUCUCUUAAAAACAUCUUAGCUCAGUUUAAACUUCUUUGAAAAUAGCCUUUUCAACAAUUACGCAAAUGAAUGCAAUACAGUUAGUGCCGAUAAGCACAGAAAUCCGCCCCCGGGCACAAAAACCAUAGUUUAACAGUUAAAAAUGGUAAGUAAAUAUGAAAGAUAAACACAUAAACAUUCGCCCCUCGGGAACAAUGUCAACAACUUCGCCCCUCGGGCAAUAUCUUAGAACAAUACCAGCCCCUCGGGCAAUCACAUAGAACGGUACCAGCCUCUCGAGCAAUCACAUAGAACAAUACCAGCCCCUCGGGCUAUCAUAUAGUACAAUAUCAGCCCCUCGGGCUAUAUCUCACAUCACAACGGGUACCCGCGCUCACUGGGGGUGUACAGAUUUCGGGAGGGGCCCCUUACGGCCCAAGCACAAUAUCAAGCCAUCUCGUGGCAUCAAAUCUAGGACCUCGGACUCAUAUGAAUCAAGCCAACUCAUGGCGUAUAUAUCUCAGGCCCUCGGCCUCAUAAACAAUAUCACAAGCCACCUCGUGGCGUACAUAUCUCAGGCCCUCGGCCUCAUAAUCAAAUCAGUAUCUUACUGCUGCGGCGUGCAGCCUGAUCCAAAAGUAUCCUCACAAUAGAGGCCCCCGGCUUUACUUAGUCAGAAAUCACAUAAGCCCCUCGGGCAAUAGUAAAAAUAUGAUGCUCAGCCCAAAAUAUUAUUGCAAAUAUCAUUUCAAGUAUUAAGGCAAAAUAGACUUGGCUGAGGUUUUGAAAAAAGUGGAAAAUACAUGAUUGCGUUCAAGUAUAAAAUCAAAAUAGUGAGGAAAUAUCAACAACAUUCNNNNNNNNNNNNNNNNNNNNNNNNNNNNNNNNNNNNNNNNNNNNNNNNNNNNNNNNNNNNNNNNNNNNNNNNNNNNNNNNNNNNNNNNNNNNNNNNNNNNNNNNNNNNNNNNNNNNNNNNNNNNNNNNNNNNNNNNNNNNNNNNNNNNNNNNNNNNNNNNNNNNNNNNNNNNNNNNNNNNNNNNNNNNNNNNNNNNNNNNNNNNNNNNNNNNNNNNNNNNNNNNNNNNNNNNNNNNNNNNNNNNNNNNNNNNNNNNNNNNNNNNNNNNNNNNNNNNNNNNNNNNNNNNNNNNNNNNNNNNNNNNNNNNNNNNNNNNNNNNNNNNNNNNNNNNNNNNNNNNNNNNNNNNNNNNNNNNNNNNNNNNNNNNNNNNNNNNNNNNNNNNNNNNNNNNNNNNNNNNNNNNNNNNNNNNNNNNNNNNNNNNNNNNNNNNNNNNNNNNNNNNNNNNNNNNNNNNNNNNNNNNNNNNNNNNNNNNNNNNNNNNNNNNNNNNNNNNNNNNNNNNNNNNNNNNNNNNNNNNNNNCCCACGCCCGUCAUCCAGCGUGUGUCUCACCUCAAUAUAGCACUACGAUUUGCAAUCCGGGGUUUCAAACCCUAACAACAUCACUUACAAUCAUUACUCACCUCGAACCGGCGAAAUCUCUAGCUCGCGACACCUUUGCCCCUUAAAUUGGCCUCCACACACGUCGAAUCUAUCCAAAAUCAGAACGAAUAUGUCACAAUAUGCUAAGGGAACCAAGCCCAAGCGAAAACAAUCGAAAAAUACCGAAAAUCUCGAAAUUAGCAAGCCCCGGGCCCACUUCUCGAAACUCAUAAAUUUUUACAUCAUUAGAUUCCUUAUCUCCCCACGAGUUCAUACAUAUCAAAAGUUCUCAAAUCCAACCCCAAAUGGUCCUUCAAAUCCCAAAUCAAAAGUUCAAUUUCUCAAGUCCUAGUUCUUCAAUUUUAAGCUUAGUUUUCAUGAUUUUCUAGGUGAAAUUCACAUAAUAAUCGAGUAUUGAGUUCAAAAAUCUUACCUCCAGGUGUUUCCCCUUGAACCUCUCUUCCAUUAGCUCUCCCAAGCUCCAAAAUCGCUCAACAAUGGAGGUUCUUAGCCUCAAAAUCGCGGAAUAGCCUUUUUAAAACAUUCUGCCCAGCACUCGAAAACCUUCUUCGGGAACGCAGUCCAAACCUCGCGUUCGCGAAGCACAAAAAUCAUUGACAAAAAAUUAGCUUAUGCGAACGCUAACUCCAGUUCGCAAACGCGAAGCGUCCGAUUUCCAAACCAUCGCGAACGCGAAGCACAAAAGGGGUUGGGAACCCCAUCUAAUCUACUUACUCUAUACGAACGCGACGCAGGUCUUGUGAACGCGGAGAAUCAAACACCACCACAUCGAGAACGCGACACCAUAAAUGCGAACGCGAAGGCAAAAAUUCACGCCUCAGAAGAAUACCCUUCGCGAACGCGGGACCGCGAACGCGAUGAAUAAAAUAUCUACAACACUUCAGCUGAUUUUCUACAAUUUUGCACAACAUGAAAUGGUCCGAUUGACCACCCGAAACUCACCCGAGGCCCUCGGGACCUCAAACAAACAUGCCAACAUAUCCCAUAACAUCAUUCAAACUUGUUCAAACCUUCUGAACGCUCAAAACAAUAUUAAAAUACCAAAUUCGCAUCGUAUUCAAGCCUAAGAAUCUCAAAAUCUCCUAGAUUACGCUUUUGAUCAAAACCCUACCAAAUCACGUCAGAAUGACCUGAAAUUUUGCACACACAUCCCCAAUGACACAACGAAGCUACUACGACUCUCGAAAUUUCAUUCCGACCUCUAUAUCAAAAUCUCACCUAUCAACCGAAAAACGCCAAAAUCUCAAUUUCGCCAAUUCAAGCCUAAACCUUCCACGGACUUUCAAAAUGCAUUUCGAUCACGCUCCUAAGUCCCAAAUCACCCAACGGAGCUAACCAAAUCAUAAAAAUUCCGAUCCAAGAUCAUAUAUAAACAAGUCAAAUCUUGGUCAAACCUUUCAAAUUUCAAGCUACAAACUGAGAACUGCUUCUCCCAAAUUCGCUCUGAUUUCCCUGAAAACCUAAAACAACAAUUUACACAAGUCAUAACACAUCACACGGGGCAAGUCAUGCCCGAGAACUGGCGAUCAAAGUGCAAAAUCUCAAAACGACCGGUUGGGUCAUUAUAUCCUCCCCCACUUAAAUAUAUGUUCGUCCUCGAACGUGCCCAGAGUUGUUCUAAAAGCCAACCAGUCGCUGAAUAACCUUACCAUGCAUAUACCCGGGGGUGAUCCCACGUCACCCUAUCUCAUAUAGGUCCGAUAAUACAUUGCAACUGAAAUUUCACAACACAAUCUAGCCUAUACGCCUUAGAAGCACAUUUCCACUUUCGAAACCAUUCACAAGAUCAGAAUCUCACAUCUAUAUUCAGAAUAAGCCCGAACAAGCUGUAAUCACCCAUACUUGCAAUCUCCGAUGCAAUCACAUGAUAUACCACAUAACUCAAACACUAGUAGCGAUAACUUCUAUUCACAACAACUGCCCACGACAACCGAAUACUGGUAGAAAACCUCUUAGCAACUAAAGUCUCAUUCCAAUACUUUCAUAUACUGUCAACGAUAAAUGAAACACGCAAUAAACCCUAACCAAUUCUCAGGUCAACCAUUCGUGAAUCCACUUCUCCUUUGGCAAAUACCAUAGCAAAUUUCCGAGUCGACCUCGAUAUUAUCCUUCCAACAUGCUGAAAUCGAAUCCGUUUGUAUACAUUGAUGAUCCCGACGAUCUCUGCUAAUCCAACGCACUACUCUGGUGACAUGACACAUCAAUAUAGGCCUAAGCCACAGCUUGCAUAAUACGUGCACCAAUAAGCAACGGUCCGAACAUACUCAAAUCAUGAAAAUGACUCAAAUGAAAGAGUUGUACCUCAAGUUCACCAGUACCGCCACAACACAAGGCUAAGAACCCGUCUCACAUCGUAGAAAUAGAACACAUGAAUCUAACCCACAAGAUCAUAUAUCCACAUAGCUUUGCUGCAAUGCGCGAUCCUAUCAAACAUUGCUCCACAUGAAACACCUCAAGUCACUAUGCUCGAAAGCGACAACCACGCAAAAUUUGAUGUCUAGAACCAAAGCAAAUCAUUACACCCACGGUGAAACAAAUAACAUACGCCACGCAACCGGAUAGGACAUAACCAAUACGUCAUUCACUGGGCAACGCCCAAUUACUCUUCCCGCUUGAAUUCAACUAUGAGACCCCAAAUGAACCGCACCAUUUGUGCCUAUAACCAACAAAUCAUAUCACCUCGCAACACAGAAAGGUAACUCAUAGAUCUCCCUAGAUCACUGAUAAGCUCAACAACGGUCGAAUCAAAACAUCCCUCAACAAUGUAAUUCGGAGUGAACCAAGCCGACUCAAGUUAGAACACGCAUCCACAUCGGCCUACCAACAAACUCUUUAUCAAGGAAAUCCUGCAGAUGUUCCCUCAACACCUUAACUCUGCCGGUGACAUACGAUACGGUGCCCGGCACCAAAUCAAUACCGAAAUCAACAAGCUUGCCCGGCGACAUGCUCGGCCACAAGAAACACAUCCGAAAAAUCCCUCACCACCGGAACUGAAUCAAUGGUAGAAACCCCUGCACUGACAUCCAUCACGAAGGCCCAAAUAAGAAAGGCAAUCCUUCCCAGCCAUUCGCUGGGUCUUCAACAUAUAAAAAUCCACUCUACUAGGAUAUAAUCUGCCGCACCUCGCCACCCAAUCCGUGGCAUUUCCAGCAUAGCACAUAGCGCCAAUAGCCUAGAAUAACCCAACACAGAGACAACCAGUCUGAACCCGAUAUCGCUUCAAAAUCUAACAUACCAAGCAACAAAAGAUUCGCUCGGGUCUUCAAACCCCGAUAGUCACUAAACAGUGUUGAUACACAUGAUCUACAACCACAACAUAGCCUGAAAUGAGAACUUCCGUCUCCAAAUCCACACGACACAUGAAUCACCAUAUUUGAUCCCAAUUUUGCCGUCUGAAUACAUGCCACACCUCUAAUACCCAAUCAUUUCACGAGAGAUACUCUAAAAUUCUUCUGUGCCACCAAACAAACUCGAAUAUCAGCAGUCGAUCUAGCCAGAAAGUGUCGCAAUACUACCGAAGUGCCAUCAACUUAAUCACAUUGCCCUUUUUAUGAAACAUAUACUCUCGUCAAAUCACUUCCAACUCGCACUACCAUUGUCUUAAUCAUCUGAGGCUACCCGCUGCUUAAGAGUUUUAUGAACUUCCUUUCAGAACUGAACUGUAACCUUACACAUGCAAAUCUCAAUCCUCCAUAAUAUACUGCAUAUACCAUAUCAUCCUAGGAUAACAUGAGAACUUCAUCUCCCUUCCGAACCAUAAACUUCUACGUACUCAACUAGUCAAGAACUUUCUAUUGGUCCCAUCUAGAAGAAAAAUCACUAUACAUCCCAUGCUCCGCAUGCCCAUAGAAAAUAUACAUCUCCAACCCGCAGAAAACUCUCUGAGCUCCCCUUGCACAAAUCAGACCUGCUAGGACUGAAUUCUUCUAACUCGACCAAGCUAAGCAAGCCAUCAAAACCUAAGAGCAUUGCUGCAAAAUACCUGUAAGAACUCAUUACCUCGAACACACACAAGGAACUAAUCAUAUCCUUACCAUACCAGUCCGGUCUACUAUCAAGCUACUCCAUCUAUCUAAAUUUCCUUCUGAUUCAUCUUCAACUUGAUAUUCCCUCUUGUUGUAGCACCACAAUUCCUCAACACAGGCUUACCACACGAGACCCAAGCAUAAAACCACACUGUCUAAGACCCAUAAGCCGCUGAAUACUCUCUUAAAUAUUCCCAAAAGCAUCACAUUACAAAAUACUUUACUCUGAAGAACUUCCUGCGAAUCUAAAUCUGUUACCUUUAGCUUCCUGAUAUUGAUACAUAAAAUCCCAUAAUUAACAUAAAAAUACCACAAGUCUUGACCUCUUCCAAUGAAAACUCAGUUUCUAACCACAUAUACAACUUUAAGAUGCCCAAUUGUUACAUGUAGAAUCUUGAACACAUUAUAACCAUUCUCGAGAGUCAUUCACUCUAUUCAAGCUGCAAUUAGCCUGAUCAAACGAACAGAACCACUCGUGCCUCAUUAGUACUCUAACACUGUGGAAGGUGACAUCAUUCCAUUACAACCAAGCAACUUUCUGUUCUACGCACCGAGCAUUUUUUACCAACAACGACUCAAGACAUCCCGUGAUGCUCACACACCCGUGGAGAAUCUUUUAACCUUUGUUAAAAAAUUUCCUUUACUUGAACCAUCCUCGAUCUCAAUCUCCGCGGGCCAUAACUGAUUCACCCGAACGCCUCAAACUAGAACCGACAUAGCACCUAGCCGUGCAAUCAACUAAUCAACAGCAGACUCCCCUACUUGGCUCGAAGCCAUAGAUCGAGACACACUCAAUAACUCAUAAUGCAUAUGCUCUAUUGAUUCCAUAAUACUAUAGUGAGAUUAAACUCAAAUCCUUUGUAAGCUUGCGAAAAUACAGAUCAUCUAGUACUUUAAGUCUUCGACAAAUCUCGCACUCAUUCUCGCAACAGUUAAGCCCACUCUCUUAAGCGAUCUAAAAUUCAAGUUUCAACACUUAUAUUUCACUUGCACAUGAUACCUUCUAACAGUCACAUAAGGAUCACACAACCCCAGAACUCUUCGCAGGAGAUAAUCCACUUGUUUUGCCUUCAAUUAACAUUUUUGUAUACCUUCCACCGUCAUAAACUGUACGCACUCACUUAAUCUUCCUGAGUCUGAACUCAUACCGUAACAUUAAAUUUACUUUACUCUCAACUGGGAAAUAUGAAAAAGAUCCUUCACACACCCAUAACUCGAGGCUAUAUCUCGAAUCAAGAUGGAAUUCCAGCACCUAAUAGUUCUUCUAUCCUCUAGCAGCCCCUCUUCGUUGCCUCCAUAUCAUAUGGAUACCUCUCGCAGUACUAACAUACUCAUCACAUAGUUAUCCAACCGUCACUCCCACUAAUAGGGACACUACCGAACAUAUAAGUUCAAAAACACUUGGUCACACAAUCAGCACCUCGGUGCUCAAGCCAUAGGCAAAGAUCCGGCCUCAAGUCCUUCAGGCUAGCCCGACAUCAAACUCACAGAGAUCACAUCUCGCCCCUCGAUCAGGGAAUCACAAGCCAUCAAGGCACAUCUGAUAUUAAGCGCUCAUACUCGCAUACGAACGCAUGGAAGGAAUUCAAGAGUUACUUUUCAAGCUGAAUCAGGGACGCACGAUAAGAAUUCGAGAAUGUGAAGUUUUCCUAAAGGUUCUGCAGCCUCUCGAGGAUAACUACAGACGUCUCCGUACCGAUCCGCGAGACUCUACUAAACCUGCUCAUGNNNNNNNNNNNNNNNNNNNNNNNNNNNNNNNNNNNNNNNNNNNNNNNNNNNNNNNNNNNNNNNNNNNNNNNNNNNNNNNNNNNNNNNNNNNNNNNNNNNNNNNNNNNNNNNNNNNNNNNNNNNNNNNNNNNNNNNNNNNNNNNNNNNNNNNNNNNNNNNNNNNNNNNNNNNNNNNNNNNNNNNNNNNNNNNNNNNNNNNNNNNNNNNNNNNNNNNNNNNNNNNNNNNNNNNNNNNNNNNNNNNNNNNNNNNNNNNNNNNNNNNNNNNNNNNNNNNNNNNNNNNNNNNNNNNNNNNNNNNNNNNNNNNNNNNNNNNNNNNNNNNNNNNNNNNNNNNNNNNNNNNNNNNNNNNNNNNNNNNNNNNNNNNNNNNNNNNNNNNNNNNNNNNNNNNNNNNNNNNNNNNNNNNNNNNNNNNNNNNNNNNNNNNNNNNNNNNNNNNNNNNNNNNNNNNNNNNNNNNNNNNNNNNNNNNNNNNNNNNNNNNNNNNNNNNNNNNNNNNNNNNNNNNNNNNNNNNNNNNNNNNNNNNNNNNNNNNNNNNNNNNNNNNNNNNNNNNNNNNNNNNNNNNNNNNNNNNNNNNNNNNNNNNNNNNNNNNNNNNNNNNNNNNNNNNNNNNNNNNNNNNNNNNNNNNNNNNNNNNNNNNNNNNNNNNNNNNNNNNNNNNNNNNNNNNNNNNNNNNNNNNNNNNNNNNNNNNNNNNNNNNNNNNNNNNNNNNNNNNNNNNNNNNNNNNNNNNNNNNNNNNNNNNNNNNNNNNNNNNNNNNNNNNNNNNNNNNNNNNNNNNNNNNNNNNNNNNNNNNNNNNNNNNNNNNNNNNNNNNNNNNNNNNNNNNNNNNNNNNNNNNNNNNNNNNNNNNNNNNNNNNNNNNNNNNNNNNNNNNNNNNNNNNNNNNNNNNNNNNNNNNNNNNNAAAACAGUUAAACAAUGCAUAAGCAGUCUAAUCAAAGUUUAAUGAUGAUAAUUAACGAAAGUACAACCCGACACAGCCCUAACUGGGGUGUCACAAGUCACGAGCAUCUACUAGGGUCUAACUACAAUUGACAAGUCUGAAUGUACAGAGUACAGAUAAAUGAAAUAAAGAGGGAGAAAAAGCGGUGUUGCGAACACCGGCAGCUACCUUGCUAAACUCCGAUGACUCUGCCUCUGAUCCACCAAUACCCGUUACCAAGUUCAGAAAUACCUCUGCACACAUGGUGCAAGGAGUAAAGUGAGUACUCCAACUCAGUGAGUAACAAAUGUAAAUUAAGACUGAAGGCAAGAAAUCAUGUAAAGCCAAUCAAGAUGAUGUAUAGAAGGAGUUCAAAAACCUGUGAGAAAGCAGUGAAGCUGUAAAAUCUCUUAAAAACAUCUUAGCUCAGUUUAAACUUCUUUGAAAAUAGCCUUUUCUACAAUUACACAAAUGAAUGCAAAACAGUUAGUGCCGAUAAGCACAGAAAUCCGCCCCCCGAGCACAAAAAUCAUAGUGUAACAGUUAAAAAUGGUAAGUAAAUAUGAAAGAUAAACACAUAAAGAUUCGCCCCUCGGGUACAAUGUCAACAACUCCGCCCUCGGGCAAUAUCUCAGAACAAUACCAGCCCCUCGGGCAAUCACAUAGAACGGUACCAGCCCCUCGGGCAAUCACAUAAAACGGUACCAGCCCCUCGGGCAAUCACAUAGAACAAUACUAGCCCUUCGGGCUAUCACAUAGUACAAUAUCAGCCCUCAGGCUAUAUCUCACAUCACAAUGAGUACCCGCGCUCACUAGGGGUGUACAGAUUCUGGGAGGGGCCCCUUACGGCCUAAGCGCAAUAUCAAGUCAUCUCGUGGCAUCAAAUCUAGGCCCUUGGCCUAAUAUCAGUCAAGCCACCUCGUGGCGUAUAUAUCUCAGUCCCUCGGCCUCAUAAACAAUAUCACAAGCCACCUUGUGGCGUACAUAUCUCAGGCCCUCGGCCUCAUAAUCAAAUCAGUAUCUCACUGUUGCGGCGUGUAGCCCGAUCCAAAAGUAUCCUCACAAUACAAGCCCCCGGCUUUACUCAGUCAGAAAUCACAUAAGCCCCUUGGGCAACAGUAAAAAUAUGAUGCUCAGCCCAAAAUAUUAUUGGAUAUAUCAUUUCAAGUGUUAAAGCAAAAUAAACUUGGCUGAGUUUUUGAAAAUAGUGGAAAAUACAUGACUGAGUUCAAGUAUAAAAUCAAAACAGUGAGGAAAUAUCAACAACAAUCCCCGAAGGGUUCAAAUAGCUUGCACGAAGCCCAAAUAUGGCAAUCGGCCCAAAUCAUGAUGAUAGCAAAUAAGUUUCAGUCAAAUACGCGGUAAAAUCAUCAGUCGGGACGGACCGGGUCACAAUCCCCAAUAGUGCACGACCUCACGCCNNNNNNNNNNNNNNNNNNNNNNNNNGCCUUUGCCCCUCAAAUCGGCCUCCACACGCGUCAAAUCUAUCCAAAAUCAGAACGAAUACGUCACAAUAUGCUAAGGGAACCAAGCCCAAGCGAAAACAAUCGAAAAAUACCAAAAAUCCCGAAAUUAGCAAACCCCGAGCCCCGGCACAUUUCUCGAAACUCAAAAAAUUUCACAUCAUUAGAUACCUUAUCUCCCCACGAGUUCAUACAUAUCAAAAGUUCUCAAAUCCGACUCCAAAUGGUCCUUCAAAUCCCAAAUCAAAAGUCCAAUUUUUCAAGCCCUUGUUCUUCAAUUUUAGGCUUAGUUUUCAUGAUUUUCUAGGUGAAAUUAACAUAAUAAUCGAGUAUUGAGUUCAAAAUCUUACCUCCAAGUGUUUCCCCUUGGACUCCUCUUCCAUUAGCUCUCUCAAGCUCCAAAAUCGCUCAACAAUGGAGGUUCUUAGCCUCAAAAUCGCGGAAUAGCCUUUUUAAAACAUUCUGCCCAGCACUCAAAAACCUUCUUCGCAAACGCGGUCCAAACCUCGCGUUCGCGAAGCACAAAAAUCUUUGACCAAAAAUUACCUUAUGCGAAUGCGACCUCCAGUUCGCGAACGCGGAGCGCCCGAUUUCCAAACCAUCGCGAACGUAAACCCUUUACGCGAACGCGAAGCACAAAAGGGGCUGAGACCCCAUCUGAUCCACUUACUUUAUACGAACGCGAUGCAGGUCUCGCGAACGCGGAGAAUCAAACACCACCACAUCGCGAACUCGACACCAUAAACGCGAACUCGAAGGCAAAAAUUCGCGCCUUAGAAUAAAAGCCUUCGCGAACGCGGGUCCCUGACCGCGAACGCGAUGAACAAAAUAUCUACAACACUUCAGCUGAUUUUCUGCAAUUUUGCACAACAUGAAAUGGUCUGAUUGACCACUCGAAACUCACCCGAGGCCCUUGGGACCUCAACCAAACAUGCCAACAUAUCUCAUAAUAUCAUUCAAACUUGUUCCAACUUGUUCCAACCUUCCGAACGCUCAAAACAACAUUAAAAUACCAAAUUUGCAUCAGAUUCAAGCCUAAGAAUCCAAAAAUCUCCUAGAUUUCGCUUUUGAUCAAAAACUCAACCAAACCACGUCUAAAUGACAUGAAAUUUUGCACACACAUCUCCAAUGACACAACGAAGCUACUACGACUCUCGAAAUUUCAUUCCGACCUCUAUAUCAAAAUCUCACAUAUCAACCGGAAAACGCCGAAAUCUCAAUUUCGCCAAUUCAAGCCUAAACCUUCCAUGGAUGUUCAAAAUGCAUUCCGAUCACGCUCCUAAGUCCCAAAUCACCCAACGGAGCUAAACAAAUCAUAAAAAUUCCGAUCCGAGAUCAUAUACAAACAAGUCAAAUCUUGGUCAAACCUUUCAAAUUUCAAGCUACAAACUAAGAACUGUUUCUCCCAAAUUCGCUCCGAUUUUCCUGAAAACCUAAACCAACGAUUUACACAAGUCAUAACACAUCACACGGGGCAAGUCAUGCCCGAGAACUGACGAUCAAAGUGUAAAAGCUCAAAACGACCGGUCAGGUCGUUACAGAUUGUCUUUGCUACUUCAGCCUCGUAUGCUGAAGUUACGUGAAACAAUAGGUACGCUUGUAAUUUUUUUUUGCAAACGGGCACAAGUUAAAACAUGACCUAAAAAGCGGGUAUAGAUGCAAAUCCUCCGACAACUUUUAUCCAAAUUAGAGUUUUUAUUUAGUGUACACUUCUCAACGUAAAUUAGUUUGUUUUAAAAUUUUAAGUACUGACUGGAGUAUACUUAGACAUUUAAGGCUAUAAUCAAGUUUAUCAUUUUUUUGUGUCCUCCCUUUCGGGGUGAUUACUGAAGUUCUAGUCAAAUUGGUUCACGUCAACUGAGUAACUCUGCCAACCAACAAGACAUAGACAGAUGGACCUAAUGUUUUUCUGUCCCUGUUGAAAUUUGUUGUGUUUCAUAUGUAUUCUCGAAAGGUAGGAACUAAAGAGCAUAUUAUUCUUUCAUGUAUCUGCUUCAUUGUCGUCAAGAUUUUCCAUAGGAUCUGAAUGACUCAGGCUCCUAGAUGAACUAGUUAAACGCCCUGGAAAUGAAACACAUGUUUCUUUUUAUCCUAAAAUUGCAAACUGAGAAGAUUGAGGGGAACCCCUUUGACAGGAGUUAUGGUAUGGAUUUUACAGCUUAACAGUCUGUAUGCAUAACUUGUCUUCUGCAGGCACAUAAACUAGGAAAAAGCUAAGUAUUAUUCCCUGAGUUUGAACCAAACUGAAUGUUGCCAUCUUACUUCUAUCAGACGUGUUUCCACGUUUGAGAGAAUGUGUACUUUUAUCAAAUCAAAAAUCUUCCCAAGCUCGAGACAAGGUGUUACUUUCAUACAUAGCGUCUCUCAUGGUGCAAACAGAACGAGCUGACAGUAUGGUAUUGUCACAAAAGCAAUCUGAGAAUCCAGUCACCGCCCGAUCAUUCAGGGUGAGAACAAAAAUUCUCCAACAAGAAAAAGAAAGGAAUGGCAUGUACAUGACUGGAUUAUAAGAUUAGAUUAGCUUAUAAAAUGCAAAUCCAAAAACUAUAGUGAGAAAGACAAACAAAGCAUGCAAAUUUUUGAGAAAAUUCAGUUGCCUGUGGUUAGCACCAGUUCAUCACAGGCGUCUUUCAAAGAAAUUCUUAGUCCUCUUCCUCACACGUGUGAACAAGAUGACCACAGCGGCCAGGACCCAUGGCGGGAUAUUACCACCAGUGAAGUUCAACUUUUCUGCCCAUUGUGGAGUCUCUUUCAUCACCAAUACUAUCAAUAUGGUGAUCACUGCAACACCGACCAAUAUCCUGGUAAUAGGUUUGAUCAAGGAGUCCUAUAAUCAAAAAAGACAAACUAUAAAAAUCACAUCUAUGCAUAUAACAAUCUAUUUUGUGGAGAACCAUGUGAAAUAAGCUAAUACUUGCAAGUAGAUAUGGUCAUUGAAGUGUCAAGAGCGCCUUGGUAAAGUCAUUUUAUGACAUUUUCACAUCUAGUUGAGCUUUCUUGGUCUAAGAAAUGCAUCUUGAUUAUAAAAGGGAUAAUAUAUUCUCAGUUCAUUAUGGAGAGUGGAGAGCAGUUCCCUUCAAUUUCCUUUCAUGCUCUCAUUGUUAGGGCCUGCUAAUGUGGGCCUUAUUUAUGUUAGCAUGCAUAUUGAUACAGAGUUUUUUUUCCUGAUAACCUAUUUAUGGAAGAACUUAUUUAUCUCAAGUAAAGUUUUCCCGUUUGCCAAUUGUUGUUUUCAAUGUAAGUGCUCAGGAAACAACAACCCAGUAUAAUCCCACUUAGUAGGGUCUGGGGAGGGUAGUGUAUACGCAGAACUUACCCCUACCCUGGGGUAGAGAGGCUGUUUCCAAAUAGACCCCCGGCAUCCUUCCCUCCAAGAACUUCUCACCUUGCUCUUGGGGAGACUCGAACUCACAACCUCUUGGUUGGAAGUGGGGGUUGCUUACCAUCAGAGCAACCCCUCUUGGAAGUGCUCAGGAAAACUAGCAGUAAUAUCAAAUUUAGAUAUCCUUUCAACAGUUUCUGGAAAGUGUCCAACAAUGUCAAAAGUUCAUAUUGCAGUUCAAGAAAACCUCUUGCAAACGAUUCAAGAUAUAAAUGGGUAAAUGGGUGACUACAGAGCAUGUUUAUACUCAUGCUUAUAGAUAGAUCAAGUUGACACAAAGAGCACGGCUAUUUUGGCAUUUCAAUUUUUGAGAUUGAAAUGCCAAACUGCAAAACUAGAGCACAUGAACCUUCUUCAACUAGGCAGUUUCUGCUUCCUUUCCAGAUGUCCUCAGUUUCAGUUCUGAUUUCUGAUGUAAACAUCAUUUAUUCUGAAGGC